rnacentral:lncRNA from 1 species
GUAGUUGUGGUCUCAAAUGAAGCUGCCACCAUGUCCACCAUUAUGGCCUUGAUGUUUUCUCUACCAAUGAUGUACCGCUGCUCUUCAUCGUUAGGGUUAAUGGGCGUAUUCAACAAUGAAACCAUUACAUGAAAGAAAUCUGUGUAAGGUUUUUGUUCCUUGGCGUUAGUCCCUUGUAAAUGUUCAUCAAUCAUUUUGUCAAUAAUUGCGUGAAGCCCAUUGCUUGUCCUCUUAAGCCUUCUUCUAUAUCCCUGCAGUGAAACGAUAGAUGGAAUCUGUAAUAUAUUAUUUUAUUCUUCAUUUCUCUCAAGUCUUUCUGAAAAUACUAGAUUUAUUUGGUCAAUCAAAUAUAUAUAUAUAUUUUUAAUUCGAACUAGAUAAUUUCUAAGGAAGGUAAAGAUACAACCACUAUGUCACAACUUGAGAUUCAUCAAGUAUUUUAAUCUUUUAAAAAUUUAUAAAAUCAAAUUAUUCAAACAUAAUUAAACUCUUAAAACAGUACUUCUUUAUAACUAGUCUAGACCGAUUGAUUAAAUCAACCGUUGAAUAGGUUUUCUCUUUUUUAUUUUUAUGAUUUAAAAAUAAUUUAAUCAAUUGAAACGAUUUUCAAUGAUUAAAGUGCAACAAAUAAUUUAAAAAAUCAUAAGAACUAGUGUGACGCAAAACAACUAAAAGCAUGAAACUUGACUUUUUUUUUAAAAAAAAAAGGAAAGGGGUUGAAGUAAUUUGUUCAUGGAUCGGGUUAUCUAUUUAGGCUUGAAGGCCUGUCCGAAAUUUAGGAGGGUUUGGGCAAAAAUAUUAGGUUCGAAAAAUGAGUUUAGGCAAAAAAAUUAGGCUCAUUUAAAAUAUGGGUUGGGCUCGAGCUUAAACAUUCAAGGCUUAAGUCUGGUUCAACCCGUUUUAAAGUUUAUAAUACUUUAUAUUAUGUAAUUUAUAACACAUUAAAAAACAAACCUAUAGUAAAUAUAUAAUACCACUCUAAUGUAAACAUUAAAAUAAUGUUAAUAUGAUUAUAUAAAAAAUUUCAAAAAAUAAAAAUGUAUAAAAUUAUUAAAUAUUAAAAUAAUAUAAUAUAAAUAUUUUAAAAAAAUAAAAAAAAUAUGGACGAGCCUAAAAUAGGCUUGAGUUAAUUUUUUGCAAAUUUAAGUGAGUUUAGAUAAAAUUUUAAACUCAUAUUCUGGAUCAAACCGAACUUGAACAAACAUAAAAUAUAUUAUUAUUAUUAUAUUUAAUACCGACCCAUGAACACUUUAGGUUGAAGGGAGAAGAGACUAGUAUUUUUGGAGCUUGAAUUUUUGUUUUUAAAGGUUGAACCUUGAAGUUCUAGUUGCGAAUAAUUUGUGAAUAUUUUUAAAACUUGAAGCUCGAUGGAGUAAUAUAUUAAAUAUUUAUUAAAUUUAUAAUUAUUUUAUUUAAAAUGUAUUUUAUGUCACUCUCAAUUUGUAAGUCAUAACUCGGUAGUUUUUUUUUUAAAUUAUUUAAUUAUAAAAAUAAGUUUUUAUAAAUAUUAUUUACUCUAUUAAUAACCUUUCACUUUUUAAACAUAAUGUUAUUUUAUUAAAAAAGUUAUUUCAUGGAUCUUUCCUAACACAUUAUUUGCAAUCCCUAAUUAAUUAUAUAAGGUUUAACUCAUAAAUUGGUACUUAAACUAUACUGAUUUUUCCAUCUUGGUAUCUAAAUUUUUUUCAGUCACAUGUGACACUUAAAUUACUUUUUUUUUUCAAGUUGGUACCUCUGUUAAGUUAAUCAUUAGUCAAACCGUUAAAUCUAUUUUAAAAAAUAAGCUUAACCCAUAAAUUGGUACCUAAACUAUACAUUUUUUCCAGUUUGGCACCUAAAUAUUUUUUUAGUUACAAGUGAUACCUAAACAACCAGGGGCGAAGCCAGAAAUGAAAUUUUAAAUUUUAAUAGUUUAUAUAUUUAUAAUUUUUAAAGGAUUAAAUCAAAUUUUUAUAAUUUUAGGAGGCCAAAGUGCAAUUUUAUCUUUACUAAAUUAAAAUUUUAAAAAUUUCUAAAAGACCUAAAUAACAAUUUUUCCUUGUCAGCCCCCUUAGAUUCGCCUCUGUAAACUACUUUUUUUCCCCAAAUUGGUAUAUAUGUUAGUUCAAGAUUGUGGAUUGUAUGAAGUUGUGAUUCCACGUCAUCCAUAUCUCAUUCCAAUAAGAUAAUGACAAAUAAGAUUUUUCCUCUUGAUUUUUAGCAUUUUCAAUUGGAUUUGAAUUUUUUUCAGAAGAAAAAAAGCUAAAAAUCGAGAGGAAAAAUCUAAUUUGUUAUUCUCCUAUUAGAAAAGGAUAUAGAUGAUAUACAAUCAUAGUUUCGUAUAAUCCUUUCUCGUUAGUUCAAUUGUUAGUUAAACUAUUAAACCUAUUUUUUAAAAAGAUGACGUGUUAAAAAAGGCAAUUUUUUUUUCUCUUGUACAUAUAUAUUUUUAUUUUUUUCUUUAAAACCAAACUGAUGGUUGAACCGAUUAAGUCACCAAUUCUCAAUUUGAUCAGUUUUUUUGGUUCGAUGAAAUAUUAUUGGUGAUAGGCUUCUUUUUUUUUUUUUUAACUUCAGCUCUUGUUUUCAUGAUAGAUUUUUUUUUUCUAAUUUAGAAGGGUGUGCCUUGAUACAUUGGCAACAUCCACUUAAAAAUAUAUAUAUUUCAUUUUUCUCUCAUCAUGUAUACUUGUGAAAAUACAAAUAUUUUUAAAAAGAUAUACACUGGUUUCGCUAGACACAGUGAUGGCACUAAUAAUGUUUUUAAAGAAAAAACAUAAUUAUUGGCUGAUGAUUGGUCGAAAAAGUUGUGACGUAGCCGAUGUGUCAAAUGACACCUGUUUGCACAGUAACAAACAACUCAUUUUCGUAAAUAAAUUUUUAUAUUAUUUUUAUAAAAAGCGACAUCUUAUACAAUUUUCAUAAUUUAUUUAUUUUUAUAUUAUUUUGAUAAAAGAAAAAAACCCAAGAUGGAGCAAGUAAUUACAAAAUAAAUUGUGAAAAGGAAAACAGUGCAUAUAAAAUAGGAUAAAAUGAGAAAAAGAAAGGAUAUUCACCUGAAGGUCAAGUGGAGCAAGAAAAGGUAAAUAAUCGGACAGAUUAAAAACCCCAGCCAAGAUCAUGGUCUCGUCAAUUAGCGGUUUAAAUUGGAAUUUAUCAUCCAUGGAUUGCCCGAAAAUCACUUUACACAUCAUUACUUCAGUAACCUUACCUACCUUCCGGCUAAGGUCCACCGUCUCACCCGCCGCCACUGCCUUCCUCACCGAUUCAACCAAUGACACCACCUCUUUCUUUCGUACUGGGGCAAAGCAUUCGAUUUUUGAAGCGCCAAGGAAGUGCAAAGUGCACCAUUUCCGUACAGUUCGCCAAUAGGAACCGUAGUGGGUAAAAGCCAAGCCCUUGCCACCGUAGGUCAAGUACUCGGUAGAUUGGAGGUUAGGCCUGGAAGCAAAAACGAGGUCAUGGACCUUGAGGAACAGUUCAGCGGCUUCAGGUGAUGAUACCACAAUGGUUGGCACAUAGCCUAGCUUUAUUGACAUUAUGGGUCCAUAUUUUUUGCCGAGAUGGUGAAGGGUUUGGUGAGGAAGGUUCCCUAGCAUAUGGAGGUUACCAAUAAUGGGAAGAGGAGCAGGACCGGGUGGAGGCUUCCGGCCAUUUUUGUGGUGGUGUCGUGGGCGGAAGAAGUAGAUAAAGGAACAAAGUGGUACAAGGAGUACCAAGAGUAUGGCUAACGUUGAAUAAUACAUUUGGGAUGGGAAAGGAGAGGCAGCCGAUUGACAAUUGACAAUUGACAAUUGACAACCCCACCUUAAAUAAGAAAGGAACAAGUAAGAGUUCCAAGUUGGUUGACAAGUAAUAGUGUAAGUUCCAAGUUGGUUGACAAGUAAUAGUGUAAUUACAAAUAAAUAACCGAAAUAUGAACCAUAUAUUUCUCAAACAAAAGAAGAAUAACAUUAAACAUUUUUAUCGAAAACUACAAAAACAGAAAAAAAUAGCAGCAUCUUUGGUUGGCAGCCAUUCCAUUCACUUCAGAUUCAAUGUUGAACAAUAAUUCAAUAGUUUGAUUCAUUAGUAGGUUAUUCAGUGGAAUCCAUUUCUUCUCUAUUCAUUAAAUUCAUCGAAUCAACAUUCAGUAAAAAAAGUUAAGAGUAGCUAUUCAACAUCAACACAAAUAAAAAUUUUUUGUUUUAGUCAAUUUUACCCACUCUUAGUCAUUUUCAAAAGCUUCAAAAAUAAAUUGCAGAACCCAUUUCUGUUUCCAUUUUGUUUUUACUUUAAUUUUAUUCCUCAUUCUCUUCUACUCUCCAUCAAUUUCUAGAACAUAAUAAGAAAGAAUAAAAAUUCUUUUCUCAACACUUUCAGCUCUUGAUCAAUUUCCAGAAUAUAACCAAAAAACUAAAACUAAAACCCAUUUCUUAAUAAUAGAUCCAUAAAAUUUGAUUUUGAAAGGGAAGCUUUCUUACUCAUUUUUCUUACAUAUAAUAGAUAAAUAAAGGGAGAAAACAAGAAGAUGAAAAAAAAAGCUUAAAUUAGUAGCUUUUGGAGCAAGUGAAAUAGUGGACAAUGGCGCCACCGGUGGUGGACUGUUGGUAAUUAAUUCCAAUUCAUGUUAAGAGAAAAUUAGAUGAAGAAGAUAAGUGGCUAAGAGUAAUGAGGAAGAAGACGAGAAGAGAAAAUAUUAAAGGAAGAAGAUGAGAGAGAGGGACCAUAAAAAAAAGAGAAAAAUAAAAACACUAAAAAAUAAUAUUAAAUUUUCUAUAAUUAGGUGGGUGUUAAAUCAAUUUUAAAAAAUAAUUUUUUUAAAUAUAAAUACAUGAUUUUUUUAUAUAGUACUAUAUAAAAAAUACCCAAAAGAAAUUUUGAACAAAUUAAUAUUUGAAAUAUAAUUUAUAAAAAUAUCUCUUGAUAUUAAUUUUUACCAUAAUAUUCUUAUUUUAUUAUUAAGUCUAAUAAAUUUAAAUAUACUGUAGCGACGUAAAAAUUUUAGUUUCGGUCGCUAAUUGUGGCGAUCUAGUGAAAAAGUUUGGAAACUGAAGUUCGAUUUUAAAAUAAAGAGGGAGUCGCCACCGAUCCUUUUUCCUAGGUGUGAUCGGACACCUACUAGAUUCAUUUUUUUAAAAACAAAAGGAAGGCUGAAUUUAGGUCUACGUUAAAAGCCAGAGAAAAAUUAGGGUUCGGGAGUCGGUUACGCGCGAGGAAGGUAUUAGCACCCUCGCGACGCCCAAAAUUGGUAUCUCAUAAACACGCGUUGUCUUAAUUUUCAAAAAUAAGAGUUCAAUGUAAAAUUUAGUCAUAAUCCGAUUAAAAGAACGAGAAAUUUUGGUUUAUUUCGUUUUUUUAGAAGGGUAUAUCGCUUUAACAUGAGUCAAUUGACGUUCACCCAACAUAGCGACGAACUCGAUAACUUAAUGUUAAAUCGGUAUAUUGCCUUGAUUAUUGAAAUUAAUUAGAAAACCGGAAUGUAAUUUUCAGGAGAAUGCAAGACAUAAUUGAUACGAAAUGAAAAUAAGUAAAUGAAAUGGCUUGAUACAUUUGAAACAAAUAACAAACAUGACAAUAAUAUUAGAAAAUAAUAACCGCGCAUGCAAGAUCAAAUGCAAUGUUAGCAUUGAAUACGAGAACGUAAAGAGAAUACGAUGAAUAUACACAUGAAAAUAAUUAAGAAUAUAUAUGUAAAAUACGUAUAUAUAAAUAUUAAUGGUAUUAGAAAGAUAUAUAAGAUAAUAAAAAUAUAUAGCUAGUAAUGUUAAAUAUAUAUUCAUAAUAUUUACAUAUGUACAUAAAAUAAAUAUUGAGGAACACAUGCACCUAAAGAACAUAUAUAUAUACCAAUAUAUAUAAUAAUAUUAUGAAGGGGAACGAAACAAAUAAUGCAUAGGAUUAAAACGAAGUUUUGAAAAAUUAUUACCUAUAUACAUAUAUAAUAAUAAAAAUGGAUACAUGAAAUGACAUGAGAAAUAUACGUAAGAACUUAGUAUACAAAACUAACAAUUAAGUAGAAUCAUAUACAUGCACGGUAUUAAAAUGUAUAUACAUACAUAAUAAUAAUGUGGGGACGCCUAUUAAUAAUAUUACAUAAAUAUAUACAUAUAUGUAUAAUAAUGAUGAAAAUAAUAAUAAUAAUGAAAAUAAAUAAUAUAAUAAUAAAUAUAAUAGUAAAAAAAAGAUAAUACUAUAUGAAAUGUGUAUAUCUAUAAUAACAUAAAUAUGCUAAUAUGAAUAAUGAUAAUAAUACUAAUAAUAAUAAAAUACAAAGAAGUAUAUAUAAUAUAAUAAUAAUAUUAAAAUACAAUAAUUAAAAGUAAUAUUAUAUAUAAAUAUAUACAAUAUUCACAUGUAAAAGAAAAAUGUAUACUAAUAUAUAGUAAUAAUAAUAAUAUAAUAUUGGAAAUAACAAUAAUCAUAUUAAAUAAGGAAACAAAAAAAUGACCAAAAAUGAACUAAAAACAAAGCUUUGGGGCGAAUUUAAAAAAAAAAUUAAAGGGGAAAGGACCUAUUUGAAUGCGGGUAAAACCAUGGGGCAUUAAAAGUGCAAAAUUUCAAACUUUCCAAAACGCUGCGCAUAUACGGGGGUUAAAUAAAAAACUGAGCAAAAUUCUGGGGUCAAUUCAGAAACAAACAUAAACCUAAUUUAAAACACCAAAAAUGCGGAAGGGCCGAUUGCGCAAAUAGCCCUUCCGUUCUUAAAAGCACGCAGAUCCUUGCUAGGGCGGGUCGGGUCGACCCGACCCACCCUUGAAACGGCGUCGUUUUAUUGGUUAAAGGGGGAAAUUGGGGCGCAAAUUGAAGGUUGUGCACAAGGGAAGGAUUCAGCGCGCAAUUUCCCCAUUCACACAACAUGGCGCAGACCCAUUUUUCUAUUCGGGCCCACACGUGGACCCUUAUGGUCAUGGGCAGCACUGUUUUGUAUUUCAGACCAUUUUAAACCAUUUUCCCUUCCUUUCCUUUCAAAUACCCAUCCAUUUUAACAAAAACCAGCAGCCUUGAAAAUAAAUUUGCUAGGGUUCCUUUUACAAGCAGCUGAAUCUCCAUCGGAUUUGGUGUCCAGCGGCGCACAAAACAAUUCCUGGUUCUGUUGCCGUAAGUAUUCGACCAUGCCUUGAGGAAAUUAGUAGUAUUUUCUUUUUUACUUGAGAAAAAAUAAAACUUCAAAUCUCAUACAUUUUUAAAAAACGAAGAAAGUUCAUAAAAUAGAGAUUCAACACCACUUGACCCCUCUCCCCUACUUUUGUAUCUUAAAGUAUUCGGGAUCUCAUUGGAGUCGAUUUACCUACUAAAAGACGAUCUAAACCAAACAAAAAAAGGAAAAAAAAAAAGAAAGAACGAAAGAAAACUUGAGAUUACCCUUGCAAAUUCUUAAUUGUUUUUUUUAUAUUUCUGUGCGUGUAUAUUCUGUGUGCGUCUGUGUUCGUGUUCCCCUUUUCUUUUAUUUACUCUCGAAAUAAAAAAAGAAAAUAAUCACAAAGAGAAAGCCCAGAGAUUUCGAUCGGAGAAAUCACCUUCCAAUAUUGCUUUUUUUGUAUUGCCUAUUGUGUAUUCGUUCGUAAAAAUAUGCCCCCCUUUACAUUGAUUCUCUUUCGGCUUUUAUAGCCGAUUACAUGUGAUUUUCACUGCUCUCUGCUUGUUUUGCUUUUGCUUUGCAUGUUUCUCCAUUCCUUUCCUGUCUUCUUUUGUUUAUUCUUUCCCCCAUCCCUCGCAUGCUGUUGUUUUUGUCUUUUUCGUUUGUCUGUUACUUUUGUUGUCUUCUUGCUUGCGUGUUGCAGGUGGUGUCAGAGGGCGUCAGACGCAUGGGUGGCCGGUGAUAGGCUGGAGGCGUGGCAGAUAAGGAGGCCACAUGAGGCAUGCGACGGCCAGCUAGGGUUUGCUGCUGAAAUUUUGCUGAAAAAUGUUUUAGAUUUUGGGCCAUUUGGGUUUUAGGGUUUUGAUUUGUUUGGGUUUAAAUUUUGGGUCAGAUUUUGGGUUUGUAAAUGGGCUGUUACUUUUGGGUUUAUUAUUUGAGUUAUUUUAUUGGUAUGGGCCCGGGCAAAAUGGGCUCGUACAGCUGCCCCUCUUUGCUCGUUGUCGUGUAACGAGAACAGAGCAAAGACUAAGAAGGCCAAUUUUGCCCGGUCUCACCGAGUCUUGACUUUAUGGUGCUUAUCUUCUUCAAGUAACCUCAUUUCAGUCCACUGCGUCUUCUUGCUUUGAUCCACUUCACGGCAACUUCAAAAAGAGAUAUGCUUGUGGCUUUAAUCCACUCUGCUACAACUCCAUGGGGAUGAGAUUGGUUUUUUUCGUCUGCUCCACUGAUGCUUAGGGAGAUAAGACUGGAUGUGAUCUGCUCCACUGCUGCUUAGGGAGAUAAGAUCUGUGGUUUUGUCCGCUCCGCUACUACUUAGGGAGAUAAGACUUGAUGCGAUCUGCUCCACUACUGCUUAGGGAGAUAAGAUCUGUGGUUUUGUCCACUCCGCUACUGCUUAGGGAGAUAAGACUUGAUGCGAUCUACUCCAUUAUUGCUUAGGGAGAUAAGAUCUGUGGUUCUGUCUGCUCCACUAUUGCUUAGGGAGAUAAGACUUGCAACUUUUGACCAGUUCCACUAUAGCUUCAGGGAGACCAAGUCUGGUGUCUUUCAUCAACUUCAAUCUUUAUUCUUACUCGGCAUGUGAUCUUGAGCCCAACUCAUUUCUCGCAAUAUGAAUUGGCUCUUUAAAAACAGACAUUAAAAACAAAAGCUAAAGAUAUCUCAACAUGUGAACUGAGGCUCAACUCACUUUUCGCAAUAUGAGUUGAUUUUUUUGACAACAGAAAUUGAAAUUACCUCAGCGUGUCCUGAGGCUCAACUCAUUUCUCGCAAUAUGAGUUGAAUUUUGAAAAGCAGAAAUUGAAAAUACCUCAACGUGUCUUGAGGCUCAACUCAUUUCUCGCAAUAUAAGUUGAAUUUUGAAAACAGAAAUUGAAAUUACCUCAGCGUGUCCUGAGGCUCAACUCAUUUCUCGCAAUAUGAGUUGAUUUUUUUUAACAACAGAAAUUGAAAUUACCUCAGCGUGUCCUGAGGCUCAACUCACCUCUAGCAAUAUGAGUUGAUUUUGAAAAAGUAAAAAUUAAAAGGUUCAACCCACCUAUCGCAAUAUGAGUUGAUUCUUGACAAACAGAAAUUGAAAUUACCUCAUCGUGUCCUGAGGCUCAACUCACCUCUCGCAAUAUGAGUCAAUUUAAAACAUAAACUAAAAAUACCUCGGCGUGCCCCGAGGCUCAACUCACUUUUCGCAAUAUGAGUUGAUUUUGAAAAACAGAAAUUAAAAGGUUCAACCCACCUCUCGCAAUAUGAGUUGAUUUUUGAAAACCAGAAAUUAAAAGGUUCAACUCACCUCUCGCAAUAUGAGUCAAUUUAAAACAUAAACUAAAAAUACCUCGGCGUGCCCCGAGGCUCAACUCACUUCUCGCAAUAUGAGUUGAUUUUGAAAAAUAGAAAUUAAAAGGUUCAACCCACCUCUCGCAAUAUGAGUUGAUUUUUGAAAACCAGAAAUUAAAAGGUUCAACUCACCUCUCGCAAUAUGAGUUGAUUUUUUGAAAAACAGGAAUUAAAAGGCUCAACUCACCUCUCGUAAUAUGAGUUGAUUUUUGAAACUUAAUUUGAAAAGCAGAUUUUGAAAAUACCUCAAUGUGUCUUGAGGCUCAACUCAUUUCUCGCAAAAUGAGUUGAAUUUUGAAAACAGAAAUUGAAAUUACCUCAACGUGUCUUGAGGCUCAACUCAUUUCUCGCAAUAUGAGUUGAAUUUUGAAAAGCAAAAAUUGAAAAUACCUCAAUGUGUCUUGAGGCUCAACUCAUUUCUCGCAAUAUGAGUUGAAUUUUGAAAAGCAAAGAUUGAAAUUACCUCAACGUGUCUUGAGGCUCAACUCAUUUCUCGCAAUAUGAGUUGAAUUUUUGAAACAGAAAUAAAAGCAUCAGAAUACCAAAACAUGUUAUCUGGUGGAACUCAGGUGUCUUUUCCUUUAAUUCAAUACAACUAUCAUCACAUCUUCUUAUUCUACUGGAGUACCUGUAUAUGUCAUGCAUGAUGUUAUCAUGAUAUGCACAUGUUUGUCUUAAAUGCCUUUAUGCCUACAUGAUUAUGCUAUGCGCCUUAGGCAUGUUUGCCGUAUGUCCCUUUCCGUCAUGAUUUUUGAUGAUCUGUGUUCAUUGCUUUGACUCUUGACUUUCUCUUCAGGCCCUGUACCCGUCCUCUGGCUUCACGAGUAAUCUGCGUUUCUCAGUUAUCGCUCUCUUGCCCCUGGUUGAACUUUGUCCUUGCGUUGAGGCUCUUGUACUUAUCAAAUUCUCAUCCGGGUAAUGCUCAACAUUUCUUUUGUUUGGAGCAUGUCAUUUCAAAAUACUCUAGAUCUUCAACGCAUGAACUCUUCCACAUUUCUUAAUCAAGAAUCUUUUUGAGUAUGUCUUCUUGCGUAUAAAUUUUCGAGCUGCUAAAAAUCCUUCAAAUACUGUAGUCUUGCUGCUUGACUCACUUCUUGAAUCUUUUUACUCAUUGGGCCCAAACCUGCUUCAUUAGGACGCCAUUUCGGGUUUUCAUCCUAAUUUUUAUUUAUCAAGACACCCUUUUCAGGUUUUCAUCUCAAUCUUCUUCUUUUUUUUAAGGCGUCAUCACUCAUUGCCCAUCAGGGCUCUAUUACGGACGUAGUACGCUGCCCUAAUGCUCGGUUGGUAUUUUGACCCAAAAUCCGAAGAAAUAAUCGCGUUUUGCUCAGCCCCACCGUAAUUUUAGGGUCCAUUCUACUGUAAUUUUGGGAUACAAGGUUGGCACUAUCCUUAAACCAUUCCACUGCAAUUCAUGGCUAUAGGAUCUGUAUCCUACUGUAACUCAAGGGUGUAUGAUCUGUAAUUUGUUCCAUCGACUGAUAUUUUUGACAGAAAAUCUGAGGAGAUAAACUCAAUUUGAACUAAAAUAUUUCCAACCCUUACCCUUGGUAAGCUCUUGAACAACCGACUGGUUUCAGGUUCCUGUACUAUUUAGAAGCUUUCAGAGUAAUAUGCAAAAUUCCUUUUAUAAAAGUAUGAUUAGUCCAUUAAUCAUUAUUUCAAUGCGAAAUGCUUGAAAAGGAUCGAACUGAUGGACAAGAAGAGAAUCGGUUAAGAGCAUAGCUCGAAACAAAUAAGUUGAACAAUGAGAGUAAAUGCAAGUUUAUUGGAAGCUUAUUUUGAAAAGAAUAAGAUAAUCAAAGAUAAAUUCAGAAAUGGGUAAAAUGGAAAGCUAAGUACCCCAAAUAUCGCCGCCUGAGCUUCUCUGUACAAACUCCUUUUGAGACAAUUUCGAGUUCAACAUGUGUUUGGGGAUUCAGAGUACUUUGUCAAUGCUCCAAGACGUAACAUACUUCUUCACUGUCAAUUUAAGUAUAGCAAGACUACCAUAUGCCCCACCUUUGAACAAGAUUUGAGCUGCCUUUUCCAGGUUUUCAACUCAAAACCCCUUUGGUCUCAAGGUGCCCUUUGCGGGUUUUCACCUUGACCUCUCCAUUUUCUUUUCUUUUUUUUUUGAAUGAAUGAAGGUCACAAGGCGCCCUUUGCGGGUUUUCACCUUGGCCACUCCUUUUCAUGUAUUUCUGGACUGAAUCCGAAUUUAGGAUUGGAUUAGUGUUCUUUCGGGGAAAGCCUCCUUUACCGCAUAAAGUUCUUAAGCAUCCAUUUCCCUUUGGAAUCCUUUUGUAUAGCAAGGAUCUUCUGCAAUACCAAGUUCCUACAAUGAAAUUCCUUUGGGUGAACCAUUUCCGCCAUAACUCAGCAUCAUAGGCGUUUGACCUUCAAAUCCUUUUCUGCAGUCAAGUUUAAUGAAGACAUUUUACUUCAUCCAAUCCUUGAUUCAACAAAGCUUGGAGAAAAAGAAUCUUAAUUUCCAUGGACAGAACCACCUCUAAUGCCCCAGUGAAGGUCCUGGUCAACUUUAAUAAGCACAAAGAGUAAAAGGUAGCUUCUUAUGUCAAUAUUUACAAGUCUCGGUCACCUUCUAUAACUUUUCUUGAUUUUUGUAUCUUUCUUUUGGCAGCCUUUGUUGUAUUGUGAUAUGACAUUGUACAGUUACGCAUUAAAACAUGAUUCUUUCUGGCAUUUGAUUUUUUUUUUCUUGUCUUUUUUUUUGUUUUUUUGUUUUGUUUUCUUUUUCUUUUCAUGACUGUCGACCUUAUAAUAUUGGCAUAUGAAGCUACAUUCAUCUUCUUAGUGAAGCAAUUGACGGCCACGACGAUGAUGUCGACUGGAAGCUUUUGACGAGAUCAUCCCCAGAACAUCUAUGCCCCACGUAUUGAAAAGUUUGUGAAGAGAUGAAAGAAGCACGUGAGUCUUGACGUCAUAACUGAUGCUAUUCCCUUCCCAUGGUGGACCAACAACAUCUGAUCCUCAUUGAUUAGCUUGGCUAUUGCAGAACCAUUGUCAUGUGUUCUCUAGACACCCUUAUGGACCUCUUUCCAGAUGUUCCUGAGUGCGCCUUAAUAUGAUCGUGCAAAAACAUCCUUAAAUUCUUAGAAAUAACUCAAUAGUCUUGCCUUAUUUUUGCGGUGAGCUAGGUUUCGAUCUUCAUCAUUUUCCCAAGCUCACAAUGUCAGCUGACCCUUUGUAAGUUAGGGUCUGUUUUUCAUCUCAUUCUGUUAUCCUUCACAAAUCAGAAGAUGGACACAGUCUCUGUCAUCUUCCAAGUCCUGAGAUUCCUCUAGACACAUAUCUUGCUCCAAAGGGAGUUAGUAACAGUGUCGCUCGUGACAUUGAUAUCUGGGGACCCACUGUGGGUAUGAAGGAAAAUUCUAGAGAAUAAAUGAUUCUAAGGAUGAUUAUUUGUAUAGGAUGAUCAUGAAUGUAAAAUAAAAGAAUGAAAGUCCAAAUAAUAAAAGAAUCUAUAAAUAGAAGAAAAUUUACUCAAAAAGAUGCGUUUCAUUGAAAUAAAAAUCUUGGACCGAAACCUAUUUUUCAAAAGAAAUCUUAUCACCUCUAGGUCUUAAGGCAAUAAGUAUGUUUUGAAUAUUACUCUAGAUUAGCUUUAAAAGUACACGGAUCUCUUCCACUGUCCCAUUGUUCAAGACACUCGGAGGUGGGUGAUAUCGAGGUCAUGGUUGAGUUGGGUACGAAUUAGAAGCAUAGUGGCUUCCUAUUCCCACCACAUGGGUUUCUGGCUCUUUUUUCUUCAUGGGUGCUGCCCUUUUGAGCUCUCAGGGCAUUCCAUCCUUUCAUUUUUGAUGGCAUUCUCUAUAAGUUCCCCGGAUAUCACAAUGUUCGCAAAGUCUUUCGUAGCACUUCCUACCAACUUGUCAUAGAAUGGUGCUCUCAGAGUAUUGAUGAAAAGGACUGUUAUCUCAGUCUUAGUCAAUGGUGGUUCCAUUUGAGCCGAGAUAUCUCUCCACCUUUGAGCAUAUUGCCUAAAGGUUUCUGCUGGUUUCUUUUCCAUCCUUUGUAGAGUCAUUCGAUCAGGCACCAUGUCAGACACAUGCUUGUACUGUUCACAAAAUGCUGAUGCUAAGUCUUUCCAUGAUCGGAUCCUUUCUUUACUAAGUUGAUUAUACCAUCGAAGAGCUGAUCCGACUAAGCUGUCUUGGAAACAGUGUAUUAGCAACUUAUCUUUAUUCAUGUGACUCGUCAUUUUUCGGCAAAACAUGACAAGAUGCGUUCUUGGACAUCUCGUUCCAUUGUAUUUUUCAAAAUCUGGUGCUUUAAACUUCGGAGGUAGAACCAGAUCAGGCACCAGACUGAGCUCCUUGGCACUUAAUGCAGAGAAAACUUCAGCGCCUUCGAUUGCCUUGAGCCUUUCUUCAAAACUCCUAUACUUGCCCCAAACAUCAUGAUCGUCUAAUUUCAACAUGGCUAUCUCUACUGGGUCAUCCCGAUCUGGAAUAUUGGGAUCAACGGGAUUACCUCCGGGGUUUGAUACAGAUAUACCUUGCCCUAAAUGAGUAGGUGGUACAGGUCGUUGCUCCAAACCUACAGGCUCCUUUUGAGGACAUCCUCUUUGCGUUACAUGAACGUGAGGCGGGGUGAAUCUUGGGGGAUAAAACGGAUCCUGAUCAUGAUUAACUCUUGACUGAGGUUCUAUAACGUCAGGACUCUGCAUAAGUCCAUUCCCUUUAACAAAAGCUGACAUCAUCUCCAUCAUUUUGGCCAUUUGAUCCCUUUGUUUGAGUGAUUCCUCUCGAGACCUUACCAUCAGAUCUCUCGUUUCCUGCUGUGAUUUAGCCAACUGUUCUUGCAAUUCUCUUUGGGCCUUUUCCAUUCUUUCAAUUCUCUCAUUGAAUUCGGCCUCCAUAGUUCUAGCUCUUAGUCGCGUCUUAUACGAAUGGCGUGAUUCCAGACUCGUAGCAUUACAACUGUAGAUCAUACGGUUUCAGCCUCAGUGAAUGAUUAAGGGACAUGUACAUGCAAUGAAUGGAUGAACGAAUAAAUGGCAGAUGAAUGUCAGUCAUGAAUAUGCAAAAAUUUGGUGUUAAUUUCAAGAUAGCCCCUAUUUAGGCAUUUCCUUAAUUAAAAGAGUCUAUUACACAACAUUUCGGCCAUUCGUAUAAUUGACUCCUCCAUCAGAAACCCAUUUUUGGCAACUAAUCUCUAAUCAACACCUUCCUAAUAUGAUGCCUAUGAUGCAUGAUGAAAAAUAGAAAUACAGACAAACAACUUUGGUUAGCAUAACACAUAUGAACAGAGAAAAACUGUGGAAAAUCUAACAAAUUAAGCUACUUGGUCCAGUGGACUCGAUUCCCUUGUUUAGAAAGCACAAAUGUAAAAGAAAUAGAAGGUAAGAUGUGCUUUUCCCGUGUACUUAUUUUGGUGACUACUAAACGAGCGGAGGUUCGGCAUGGCUCUAGUUGGAUGGCUCGUAUGGUUCACUAUAUGCGGUUUUGAUUCUAGAUGGGUACUUGAAUCAUCUGCACUGUCAUCUACUAAGAUUAGUACAAAGCCUCGGUCAUGGCCCAUCAUAGGCUUACGAGAUCAAUUCGAGGGAUUACAUUUACUUAUGCCUAUGCGGAGGGACAAGUUAACUCACGAAAGCAUAAGUCAUAUGUAACCCGAAAGUAUUCACUAGCCUGUGCGGAGGAACGAGUUAACUCACGAAGGCGUAGCGUUUACUUUCUCUUAACAGGGACGGAGCCCGGGUAUAGAGCUCAUGUUAUGCAACAAAAAUGCACGUGCACGGUGUGUGGGGAGAAACUUGUAAACCUUUACGUUUUAUUUAGAAAAACUAAACCAAAACUAAAAUCGCAAAAAUUUAAAACUGAAAAACAACCUGAUAAAACAAGUUAGAAUAUAUACAACACGAUGCAAAUGCAUGAUUUUUUUGAAAACAAAAAAUUUAAGGAUCACGACUAAAUGUUAAUUUGAACAAGAAACUUUGAAAAUUUUGACAACGCGAGUUUAAUUCGACUCGACUCUCAAAAAGGGUCCCCAGUGGAGUCGCCAGCUGUAGCGACGUAAAAAUUUUGGUUUCGGUCGCUAAUUGUGGCGAUCUAGUGAAAAAGUUUGGAAACUGAAGUUCGAUUUUAAAAUAAAGAGGGAGUCGCCACCGAUCCUUUUUCCUAGGUGUGAUCGGACACCUACUAGAUUCAUUUUUUUUAAAAACAAAAGGAAGGCUGAAUUUAGGUCUACGUUAAAAGCCAGAGAAAAAUUAGGGUUCGGGAGUCGGUUACGCGCGAGGAAGGUAUUAGCACCCUCGCGACGCCCAAAAUUGGUAUCUCAUAAACACGCGUUGUCUUAAUUUUCAAAAAUAAGAGUUCAAUGUAAAAUUUAGUCAUAAUCCGGUUAAAAGAACGAGAAAUUUUGGUUUAUUUCAUUUUUUUAGAAGGGUAUAUCGCUUUAACAUGAGUCAAUUGACGUUCACCCAACAUAGCGACGAACUCGAUAACUUAAUGUUAAAUCGGUAUAUUGCCUUGAUUAUUGAAAUUAAUUAGAAAACCGGAACGUAAUUUUCAGGAGAAUGCAAGACAUAAUUGAUACGAAAUGAAAAUAAGUAAAUGAAAUGGCUUGAUACAUUUGAAACAAAUAACAAACAUGACAAUAAUAUUAGAAAAUAAUAACCGCGCAUGCAAGAUCAAAUGCAAUGUUAGCAUUGAAUACGAGAACAUAAAGAGAAUACGAUGAAUAUACACAUGAAAAUAAUUAAGAGUAUAUAUGUAAAAUACGUAUAUAUAAAUAUUAAUGGUAUUAGAAAGAUAUAUAAGAUAAUAAAAAAUAUAUAGCUAGUAAUGUUAAAUAUAUAUUCAUAAUAUUUACAUAUGUACAUAAAAUAAAUAUUGAGGAACACAUGCACCUAAAGAACAUAUAUAUACCAAUAUAUAAUAAUAUUAUGAAGGGGAACGAAACAAAUAAUGCAUAGGAUUAAAACGAAGUUUUGAAAAAUUAUUACCUAUAUACAUAUAUAAUAAUAAAAAUGGAUACAUGAAAUGACAUGAGAAAUAUACGUAUGAACUUAGUAUACAAAACUAACAAUUAAGUAGAAUCAUAUACAUGCACGGUAUUAAAAUGUAUAUACAUACAUAAUAAUAAUGUGGGGACGCCUAUUAAUAAUAUUACAUAAAUAUAUACAUAUAUGUAUAAUAAUGAUGAAAAUAAUAAUAAUAAUAAUGAAAAUAAAUAAUAUAAUAAUAAAUAUAAUAGUAAAAAAAAGAUAAUACUAUAUGAAAUGUGUAUAUCUAUAAUAACAUAAAUAUGCUAAUAUGAAUAAUGAUAAUAAUACUAAUAAUAAUAAAAUACGAAGAAGUAUAUAUAAUAUAAUAAUAAUAUUAAAAUACAAUAAAUAAAAGUAAUAUUAUAUAUAAAUAUAUACAAUAUUCACAUGUAAAAGAAAAAUGUAUACUAAUAUAUAGUAAUAAUAAUAAUAUAAUAUUGGAAAUAACAAUAAUCAUAUUAAAUAAGGAAACAAAAAAAAGGACCAAAAAUGAACUAAAAACAAAGCUUUGGGGCGAAUUUAAAAAAAAAUUAAAGGGGAAAGGACCUAUUUGAAUGCGGGUAAAACCAUGGGGCAUUAAAAGUGCAAAAUUUCAAACUUUCCAAAACGCUGCGCAUAUACGGGGGUUAAAUAAAAAACUGAGCAAAAUUCUGGGGUCAAUUCAGAAACAAACAUAAACCUAAUUUAAAACACCAAAAAUGCGGAAGGGCCGAUUGCGCAAAUAGCCCUUCCGCUCUUAAAAGCACGCGGAUCCUUGCUGGGGCGGGUCGGGUCGACCCGACCCACCCUUGAAACGGCGUCGUUUUAUUGGUUAAAGGGGGGAAAUUGGGGCGCAAAUUGAAGGUUGUGCGCAAGGGAAGGAUUCAGCGCGUAAUUUCCCCAUUCACACAACAUGGCGCAGACCCAUUUUUCUAUUCGGGCCCACACGCGGACCCUUAUGGUCAUGGGCAGCACUGUUUUGUAUUUCAGACCAUUUUAAACCAUUUUUCCCUUCCUUUCCUUUCAAAUACCCAUCCAUUUUAAGAAAAACCAGCAGCCUUGAAAAUAAAUUUGCUAGGGUUCCUUUUACAAGCAACUGAAUCUCCAUCGGAUUUGGUGUCCAGCGGCGCACAAAACAAUUCCUGGUUCUGUUGCCGUAAGUAUUCGACCAUGCCUUGAGGAAAUUAGUAGUAUUUUCUUUUUUACUUGAGAAAAAAUAAAACUUCAAAUCUCAUACAUUUUUAAAAAACGAAGAAAGUUCAUAAAAUAGAGAUUCAACACCACUUGACCCCUCUCCCCUACUUUUGUAUCUUAAAGUAUUCGGGAUCUCAUUGGAGUCGAUUUACCUACUAAAAGACGAUCUAAACCAAACAAAAAAAAGAAAAAAAAAGAAGAAAGAACGAAAGAAAACUUGAGAUUACCCUUGCAAAUUCUUAAUUUUUUUUUAUAUUUCUGUGCGUGUAUAUUCUGUGUGCGUCUGUGUUCGUGUUCCCCUUUUCUUUUAUUUACUCUCGAAAUAAAAAAAGAAAAUAAUCACAAAGAGAAAGCCCAGAGAUUUUGAUCGGAGAAAUCACCUUCCAAUAUUGCUUUUUUUGUAUUGCCUAUUGUGUAUUCGUUCGUAAAAAUAUGCCCCCCUUUACAUUGAUUCUCUUUCGGCUUUUAUAGCCGAUUACAUGUGAUUUUCACUGCUCUCUGCUUGUUUUGCUUUUGCUUUGCAUGUUUCUCCAUUCCUUUCCUGUCUUCUUUUGUUUAUUCUUUCCCCCAUCCCUCGCAUGCUGUUGUUUUUGUCUUUUUCGUUUGUCUGUUACUUUUGUUGUCUUCUUGCUUGCGUGUUGCAGGUGGUGUCAGAGGGCGUCAGACGCAUGGGUGGCCGGUGAUAGGCUGGAGGCGUGGCAGAUAAGGAGGCCAUGUGAGGCAUGCGACGGCCAGCUAGGGUUUGCUGCUGAAAUUUUGCUGAAAAAUGUUUUAGAUUUUGGGCCAUUUGGGCUUUAGGGUUUUGAUUUGUUUGGGUUUAAAUUUUGGGUCAGAUUUUGGGUUUGUAAAUGGGCUGUUACUUUUGGGUUUAUUAUUUGAGUUAUUUUGUUGGUAUGGGCCCGGGCAAAAUGGGCUCGUACAUAUACAAAAUAUGUAUUAAUAAAAUAAAUAAAUAAUAUUUAUCUAGUUUAAGGGAAAUAAUAUGUAUUAAUUCAUAUGUUAAUAAUAAUUUUAGGUAAAAUUUUACUAAAAAAUUAUUAAGAAUAUUAAGAAUGUUAUGAAAUUAUAUAUUUUUAUUUUUAUUUAAUUAUAUUUAGUAAUAAUUAUAUUAAAACAUGAUUAAAUUAUUUAUUAUUUUAAUAAUAAUCUUAGUAAAAUUUAAUAACGAUAAUUAUGUACUUAAAAAAAAUCUGUUAAGGGUACUCUGGUUAUUUUAGUCUUUUUCUUAUACUAUUACAACAUCAUUCCAUUCAACAAAACACAAGAAUGCCAUUACAGUUCUAUUCCAUUCCAUUCAACCAAACAAUUGAAUUACUAAUUACAGCUCUAUUCUAUUAUAACUCUAUUCAAUUACAACUCUAUACCAUUACAGUUCUAUUUCAUUACAGCGAACCAAACGUGCCCUAGAUUUUUACAUUAGAUUUAUUUUUAAUGACAUAUUUAAAAUGUGGGUUUAUCCCUUAACUUAUAUAUUUUUGGACACAAUGUAAUAGCUCAAAAUUGCCCGGGCCCGUAAAAUAAAUAAAUAAAAACAGAAAUAAAAUUAAGGAAAUAAUAAAAGUCCAUUUACAAUAAACAGGCCUAAAGGCCUGAUGGCUACACUUGUAACCCAACUGGUCUAAACCAGAAUACCCAUUAACCCAGUAGCCCAUUACACUUAAAAGCCCUUGAACCCGAACUAAACCCAAAUUAAUGAGACCCAGGAAGGCCCAAUGCCUAAACUGAAUCUGGAAACCCUAGGGUUUCCAGAAGCUUCGCGCCGCAAACUCCAAACAUCACGCCCCUUCGUCUCGCGACAUUUCAGUGACCCUUCAUCGAUGCCUCCAUUAGCGCCGUGACUAUCGUAAUCUGCACACAAAUCAACACCCCAUCAUCGCCGAAUUUCUCGCUAGUACCUGCAAAAAAAGGAAAGAAGAACAACAGAGGCAAUACAAAUAUGGCAGGGAAUAAAAUCAAGCAUGUAAAUAUUAUUUUCAGUGGCUAUAAAAAGCCCGAAUCAAAAUGAUGUAAAGUGGGAGUUUUUUUUAUAUACAAUAAAAUACAGUAGUUUAUCAAGGAUAUGAGGUCUUUUACAGGCAUAUAUACAAUAAAAAUCAAGAAACAUAGGUGAUUUACUUUUAUUUUGUUUUUUUUGUUUUCGUUGUGAAUACAUACAAAUAUUGCUAAGAAUAUAAAGAAGGGGAAUUUACCGAUGGAUUUGCGCUAAAAAUCGGAGCUUUCCAGCUUCCGGCCACCGUAAGAGGCGGUGUUGACAGAGUUACGUAGGCGCGUGUAAGCCCUUGGACGGAGGCUCGACAGAGCUCCGAGGACCAGCUCUCAACCCUCUUUCAGAGGAUGUUUUUGUUUUUGUUUUUUUUUAAAUCGGGUUUAAAAUGAUUUUAGGGUUAAAAUUUGACUUAUAUAGCCUUAUGAAAAUGAUGUCGUUUCGCUUAAAACAAUAAGCUUCAAAACGGCAUCGUUUUAAGACUGAAGAUCCGCGUGUUGACCCGUGACCCGGGGAGGAUCCGUUCGUUUUUGGUAAAUGGGCUAAUUUCUGUUUGAGCCCUUCCCCAUUUUUCAUUCUUUUAAUUUUGUUUAAUUUUAAAUUUUAUAUUUCAAUUUUGCCCUGACUUCUUUAUUUUUGUUUCAAUUUAGUCCCACCUGUCAGUAUAAGGCUUGUUUUGCGAACGACGCCGUUUCGGGAUUAGGGCAAAUUGCCCAGUGAGUCCCUUGGAGUUUUGUGCGCGUCCCAAUUAAGCCUAAACCUUCUUUUGUUAUUUUAAAAUUAGCCCUAGAACUUUAGUUUUAUUUAAUUUUAAUCCUUUUAAAUAUUUUUGCAUAAUUUAUUUAUUAAAUACUUUAUAUAUUAUUUAUUUUACUAUAUUUAUAUGUAAAUUAUUACAUAUUAUAUUAUUUUUAUUAUUUAUUAUAUUAUUUAUAUAUCAUUUUAUUAUAAACUAUUUAUUAUUAAAAUUUUGUAAAUUAUUAUUGAAAAUUACAUUUUUAUAUAUCAUUGUUUAGAGUUUAGAACGUAAUAUUUUAAAAUUUAAUGUGAAAUUUUGUUCCUAUUUAAUAUAUUAAUAUCUUUUAUAAAUAUAUUAAGUUAUUAAAUCAUACAAUAUAUUUACAUAUAUAUUAACCUUUGUUUAAAAUUUUCCUUUAUUAUUUAUAUAUAUCAUUUUAAAUAUUUUUACCUCAUUUAUUCUUUGUAAAUUGUAUGUAGAUUUUAUCCUUUUUAUGCACAUAAAUUGUUUGUUUAUUUUAGUACUCUUUUUCAUAUCUAUUUGAUGUUGUUUUGAUAUAAUAAUCUUAUCUCGUAAAUUAUUUGUUAUUUUUAUAUUAUUUUUUGUUUUUAUACAUUUGCAUGAAAUAUUAUUGCAUAUAUAUUAUGUAAUUAUAUUGUUCUAUUUAUUAUUCGCCACAUUGUAUUUUGCAUGGAAUGAUAAUGUUUGUAUAUUUACGUUUUUACGAUUAUAUAUGCAUGAGAUAUUAAUAUAUAUUAUGUGAGUUAUGUCAUUAUUUAUCAUUUUCUACACUAUAUUCACAUGAAAUGAUAAAGCAUAUAUCAUGUAGAUAGGUUUAUUUAGUAUUGAUCUUUCCUAAUAUGUAAAGUACAUCAUUAAUUUCAAAAAUUAUAUCUUAUUUAAUUCAAAAGAAUUUUAAAAAGUGUGGCAAUGUUUUUGGUAUUUAGGCAUUCGGGAAGUAGUGCCCUAACAUGCUGGGUUGCGAUUUUCUGUUUGUCUAAAUGUCUAAAGUAUCCUUCUAAAUAGAUUUCGUAAAUCACAAGAUGAUUUCGGUCACGAAAGUUUAAAGAUAUUGCGUCCAAUCAUGCUGGAUGUGAUGUUUGUACUCUUUUGGAGCGAAAGAAUCUCGACUUUCAGCAAAUUAUUAUAGUUUUAAAAAGGGGAUCUUAUUUCCAAAUUCCUUCAAACUUUUGACAUCAAGACAGAAAACUAAUUUGGUACCAAUCCUGGGCGUUGCCAGGGUGCUAAUCCUUCCUCGCACGUAAUCGACUCCCGAACCUAUUUUCUCACAUUUUCGUAGACUAAAAUGUUUUAUAAGGUGUUCCAAUCACACUUAAAAAGGUUGGUGGCGACUCCCGUUUUUUUUUAAAUACCCUCCCCUUUUAAAAUCAGGUUUCGACACACAAUGUAUAGAAUUACCUAUAAUUCCUCUCUAACCCAUAAAUAGGAAGAUAAUGCGUCUCAGCGCACUUAAACCCACAUACUCUUGCAUUGACAACAAUACAUAUACUACUCAAGCUAAGACUCAAUCGACUACGUUAACUUAUAUAUUGAUUGAGAUUGAUGCUUAAUCUAUUUAAAAAAAUUGUUUGAAUUUUAGUUUACAGAUGUAAUACCCUAAACUCGUAACCAUCGUCGGAAUAUGGUUACAAAGCAUUACUUGACUUGUACAUCAAACAAUUAUACAUUUCGUAUUCAUUUCUCAAUCCAAACAUAAACCAUUCAAAUUCAUUCAUUUGGUCACUAAUUUGAGCCAUUGAAGCCUAAAAUAGACAUUAAAGAUGGUUCAGGACAAAACUGAGUACUCACAAACAUUUUAGAAAAACAUUGAAAUUUUUGUAAAGUACAAGGGACACAUGCCCGUGUGGCCAAACCGUGUGUCUCACAAGGUCAAGAGACAAGCUCGUGUCUCAUACCGUGUGGGCAUUCACAAUGGGGGCACAUGACCGUGUCCCAGCCUGUGUCUGAGCCCGUGUAACUCACUGACUUAUGUCACACGACCAACCACACGCCCGUGUGCCUAGGCCGUGUACCAUUUGAAAUGGCCUCACACACCUGUGUGUCAAGCCGUGUUUUAGGCCGUGUGAAAACUGGAAGGUAUACUGACUUAUACCACACGGCCAAGUCACACGCCCGUGUGCUAGGCUAUGUGAAGCUACUGACUUGUUUUCUAAAGAUGUUGCAGGGGAAACAUGAACAUUUCACCAGCCGUGUGUCACACAUGGCUGAGACACAUGCCCGUGUCUCUACCUAUGUGGACAAAAUAAGUCAUUUUCCAAGCCAUAUUUCUCACCCAAUUUGAUUCUAGUCUAAAUUUAACAUUUUGCAUAUGACCAUCUUGUAAUAGGCAUUCAAACCAACCUAAAUUCAAACUCAACCGCAUGUAACAUCAUCACAUACAACCAUUGAAUUUACUAAAUGCACAUUUUACCUAUAUCAAUCCUACUCAAUUCAUAAACUAAGUGCUAAGAAUAUGUCUGUAAUACCCCUACCCGUAUUCAUUGCCGGAAUAGGGUACGAAGUAUUACCGGAGUUUACGGAUUAAAUUUUAAAAUUUUUUUAACUCAAUAUAACCCCUUUAUAGAUAUUUAACAUUCCCUGAAAUUUUAAACCAAAAACAAUCCACAUCAACCAAUCCAAUUCAACAUAUUUUCAAGAUAAAUUCAUACAUAUUUAUAAAAUAACGUCAUCACAUACCCAAAACCAGGUUUGUUAACCAUACCAAUGGCUAACUCUACAUUCAUUUCACAGAAUCAUUUACUUUAUUAGCUUAUACAUGCCAUUGAUUUCCAAAAUAAAGUUUCUUUAUAUACCAAAAUCCUGAGGUUGAUAGUGUGAUGUGUCUCCGACCAAAUCCGACCUCCAAGCUUUUAACACUACAAAACAGGGAAAAAGAAAACGGGGUAAGCUUUGUGCUUAGUAAGCUCAUGUAACAAGAAUUAUACUUACCUAAUAUUUUCAAUAAAGUACAAUAAACAUUCACAUAUCCAUUCAAUGCAUUAUUACCCUAAUAUGCACAAACUCAACAUUCAAGUUAGUACAAUAAUUUCCAUGUACCAAUAAUAUAUACCAUGAUUGAUGAGCUCAUCAAUAUCAUAAUUUCCAUUUCCUUGUUAUUUUUCUAUAUUUAUCCCGUUGAAUUUAUCGAAAAUUCGAUGGAUUUUUAGAGGUACACUUUUAGUGUACAAUUCUGGGUCCGUCAAUUCACAUUCAUGUGCGCACAUUUCCAUUUCAGAGAGCACACUCUCACGAACCUCAACCUUGCAGCGGGAUUACCAGUCCAGGCUAAAUCCCCUGUAAUAUAAAGUUAGAGUAUUGUCGGGAUUACCAGUCCAGGCUAAAUCCCCUGCAACGACAAUUACUCUAACGAGCUUGGAUCUGAAUUACCAGCCCAAGCUAAAUUUAGACCCUAAUUCGGAUUACCCGUCCGGGCUAAAUCCAUUUUCCACAUAUUCUUCGGGAGGGAUAUAUCAAGAUAGGAUCACCCGUCCGGGCUAGAUCCUUUUUACCUUCAAUUCCUUUUUAGAGAUCCAUCGAAUUUUCCUUUCAAUGUUUACUUUAUCUAUCAAUCAACCAAUCAAGGUAAAUCAGCGAGAUGACCAAUUCAUAAGCAAACUUUACUUCCAAAAUAGCAUAAGACUUCAACAUGUAUUUACAAGUAUUUACACUUACAAAAACAUAUAACCCAAGACUCCAUAAUCAAAAGAGAUGCUACAAUAGUUUGCAUCCUAGGUACAUGCCAAAAACACAAAAGGGAAACGUCACCAACUUUGAGUACGGGGUUCUUGCGGGAUGCUAUGUCCGAGUCUACUAUUUAUCUAACCUGUAACAAGUAAAUUAAUCUAAUUAUUUUUAGGUUCCAAUUGUUAGCUAAGUACAAUUCUAAUCACCAUUAAUAGGAAUUUCUAUCUUGACCAAUUAAGAAUUCAAUAAUUCAAGUAACCUUAUCGUAAGAUUUAUUAACAACAUGGCACCCGGUGCCUAGCGGUAAACCGCAGAAAGGUUGUGCUCAAUGCUAGUUGGAUUAACCGACAAUAAUGAAUGUGAGCCUAGAUCUAGUUGGAAAAGCCAAUGAUAUUGCACCUAGUGCUAGUCGGAUAAAUCGAAAAUAAUGAAUGUGAGCCCAGCUCUAGUUGGACAAGACAACGAUAUUGCACUCAGUGCUAGUCGGAUAAACCAACAAUAAUGAAUGUGAGUACAGCUCUAGUUGGAUAAGACAACGAUAUUGCACCUAGUGCUAGUCAGAUAAAUCGACGAUGAUAAAUGUGAGCCCACCUCAAGUUGAACGUAUCGACGAUUAUACAAUGGUUUAUAUCCAUAAUUUCCUUCAUUUACCUUCCUUACAUUAAUUCAAUGAUAAUCAUACAUUUUAUAUCAAUUUUAAGUUUGAAAAUACUUAAUUCAAAUAAUAAUUAGAAAUAACAUUAAGUUCGAGUCCAUGAACUUACCUCAGAUUUGUACGAAGAAUUGAUCGCUUAAUCCAACGCUUUAUUCUUCCCACGAUCUAAGUCUAUACGUUGUUUUUCUUGAUCUAUAUAAUCAAAUUCAACUAAUUUAAGUUUCAUUAUAUACAAUUCAAUCCAAAAAUCACAUUAUGGCAAAAUUACCAUUUACCCCUAUAUUUUUGACUUCUUUACAAUUUAGUCCUUAGGCUCGUAAAAUGAAAUUUUUGCAAUUUCUCCCCUAACCAAGCCUAGCCGGAUUUACUACAUGCUUAUAGCAGCCCAUACAUUUCACCAUUUCUCACAUUUAUCAUAUGAUUUAUCACAUUUCUCAAUUUAAUCCAUAAUGACAAUUUUCAUCAAAAUCCACUUAACAAAAUAUGCAUAUCAAUCAACAACCAUUAUUUUCAUACUAUAAAACUUCAAAAAUAAAUAUGUUCAUCAAUUGCAAAACUCAAACAAUUCAAUAGUUUUGCAAAUUAAUCCCCUAAUUAGUUAGGUUAAGCUAUAACGAUCUUGAAAAUAUAAAAAUCAUUAAAAACAACACCUAAAUACACUUACAUGCAAGCAAAGCAAGAAUGGGCAGCCUAGAAAACUCCCAUGGCUUUUCUUCUUCUUAUUUUAGGCACUAGCAUAGUAAAAGAUGAAGACUUUUCAUCUUGUUUUGUUUAAAUUUUAUCAUUUAUUACUUAAUUACCUUUUUACCCUUACCUAACUUUAAAAUUUACACAAUUACCAAGCCAUGCACAUCCACUAUCACUUUUAAUGGUCUAAUUACUUAGUAAGGACAUCCACUUUAAAGUUCUAUAGCUAUUUAAUACUUUUAGCUAAUGGAACACGACUUUCGUACUUUACGCGAUUUAGUCCUUUUUCACAAAUCGAACACAUAAACGAUAAAAUUUUUCAACGAAAUUUUUUAUACUAUAGUACUAUCAUGCUGUAGAUCUUAAAAUGAUAUUAAAAUAAAUUUUCACUGUUCUGAUUUUACUAAAAACGGGCCGUUACAUCAGAUUCAUGACGUUUAAAGUUGUUUCAUAAAAAAAACUGAAUUGUAGAAGAAAAGGGAAAAAAGAGGUUUCGGUUGAUGCAGGUGGUUUAAACAGAGAAAGCUAUAUACUAUCGAUUUUAAUAGUCCAGUGACUUUAACGAAAAUUUUUGAAUAAUUUAUUAACCAAAUUGUAACUUUUUUUUAGUUAAGUGACCAAAAUGAAAGUUUACCUAUAAUUUAGUAACUAAUGGUUUUAUUAAUUUAUGGUUUAGGUUUCAGACUUUAUUUGUUGUUAAAAAACAGCAAACAAUAAAAUAUUAUUUUUGUUAAUAUUUAUAUAUCUUAUAAUUUUUUUAAAGUCAUAUAUAAUCUUAUAAGUAAGUACUAUUCCUAUGGUGCAUGGAUAUUUAAUUACUGUGAUAAUAUAUUCAUUUUUUAUUUAAUUAAAUAUUAAAAAGUAUUUCCUAAUUUAAUCAAAGACAAAUAUAAGAAAAUAACCACUUUUAAAUAUAAUGAAGAAUUAUUAAUUCUUUAAAAAAAGGAAUUAUUAAUUGACAAAAUAUCAAUAUCAAUGCAAUUAAAAUGGUUAGUAAAUGUAAUUGAAUUAAUUACAACUAGAGGUGUUCAUGGGCCGGGCCGGGUCGAGUUCGGGCCAGGCUCAACUAAAAAAUCAUGCUCAUUUAUUGGGCUCGGGCCGGGCUGGGCCCAAAAAAUGGGCCUAAAAUUUUGUCCAAGCCCGACCCAGAUAAAAAUACUAAAACCCGUGCCCGGUCCGGCUAGCCUGUAUUAAUUUUUUUAUAUUAUUUUUAAAUAUAUAUAAUACAUCAAAAAUACAAAAAAUAUCAAAAUAAAUAUUUCCCAACAUAUUAAAAAUAAAUUUUAAAAAAUAUGUAGACUUAAAUAACACUAAGAUAAAUACAACUUAACAAGCAAAUGCUUCUAAAAUAAUAAAAAAAAUAACAAAUGCCUUUAAAAUAAUAAGAAAAUUAACAAUAAAAUAAAUUUUAUACAAUAUCCAAACAAUAACAACAAAAUAAUAGCAACAUAAAGUAAAAUGGUAGCAAAAUAGGGAGAAAACAACAAGAAAAUAGCAUUCAAAAAUAAAAAAAAUAUGCAGAUUUUUUUGUCCUUUAAUGAUUCGGGCCGGGCCGGGCUCGGGCUAAAAAUACCUUACUUUAACCUAGGGAUAGAUUGCAAAACCUCUGCACAUUCAAUCAUGUCCUUCUACAAUGGCGAUUUCUAGCGAAAAAAUAUUUUAGUAUUCCAAUCUUAUAGUGAAUGAUUUCUAGAGAAAAAUAUUGUAUUAUCUCAUUAACGAUUUCUAGAGAAAAAAAUAUUGUAGUAUUCCAAUCUUGAAAUUUAUUCGAGGAACAUUCCCAGGAACAUAUGAAUAUUAUGUUUAAAUGUGAAAUAUAAUUCUCAAGUUAUUUAUUACUUCUUAUAUUUUAUUUUUUAUUGUAGAAUAAUCAAAUUAUUUGUUUCACUAAUGAUAUCUUCGCAUAUUAUGUAGUGCAGUUUAAAAAUAAUAAAUUAGAUUAUAUAUUAUUUUUAUAGUAUUAUAUAUUAUGAUUUUUUAAUUCAUAUAAUAAUAAUUAUAUUAAGAGUUUUAUUAAAUUAUAUUUAGUAAUAAUUAUGGUAAAAUAUGAUUAAAUUAUUUAUUAUUUUUAUUAAAUUAUUUUUAAUAAUAAUCUUAUUAAAAUUUAAUAAUAAUAACAAUAAUCAUCUACUUAAAAAAAAUUCAACUAAGGGUAUUCUGGUCAUUUUAGUUUUUUUUCUUAUUCUAUUACAACAUCAUUCCAUUCAACCAAACACAAGAAUUCUAUUACAGUUCUAUUCUAUUCCAUCCAACCAAACAGUUGAAUUACUUAUUACAGUUCUAUUCCAUUACAACUCUAUUCAAUUACAGCUCUAUUCCAUUACAGUGAACCAAACGAACCCUUAGAGCAUGUUUGGUUGAAGGUAAUAGCUAAACCAUUACAUGCCUAUUACUAACCUAUUCUUCAGGCCAACUUAAACUGGCGUUUGGUUCAACGUAAUACCUUAUUACGAGUGGAUUCCAUUCCGGGCUUAAACAGAGAUUUUUGGGGAUUUCUAUUCCGUGCCUUCUUCACCGUUUACCUAUUCGUUGCUUGAAGAAACCUAUUCUACCCUUACCAAAAUUUCACAUCAAAAACACUCUCAAUCAGCAGCCAUUUCACAUACCCUUUGAUUCCGGCAUUCCUCCCCUUCAUCCAAGGUCAGGUAAACAUUUUUGCUUCUUCUUCCUUCACAUCAUCUUCUUUCAUUGUUUCAUCAUCUAUCUCCUUUCUGCAGUUUCAACUACAAGGCAGCAAAUUGACUUGGCACGAGCGCUUAUUGGUACUUUUCUUUUCCAAUUUCUCUUCCGCAGAGUUUUGUUUGCUUAUUAAUUUCUGGGCUCUAAAGAAAGGUAUCAAGAAGCGCAGAUUGGGUCAUUCAAUCAGUCACAGAGGACAAAGAAUUGGCUUCAAAAAAGAACAGUCAUUCCCAUGAACCUAAGAAGCUUUUGUUCCCAAAUGGCUCCAAAACUUUGAAGGCUUCUUCUUCAGAGGUUGGAGGUGGUCACGGUGAUGAUGGUGAUGGCCAUGAUGAUGUCGAGAAGUUGAGUAGUAGAGCAAUCAAUGCCUCUAUCGUUCUUGGAUUUGACACGUUUGUUGUAUCCAAGUUGCUUACAAUUGAUCAUGAUUAUUGGCAUGUAAGUUAUCUCCUAGGUUUUUCAAUUUUUUUUUUGCAUUUUAAUUCUAUUUCCUGUUUUACUUAGAGUUGAAUAAUGAUUCAUUUCAAAAGAGCUUUUUUUGGUAUGCUCUUGUUUUGAGAAGGGUAUUUUUGCUUGGUAGUAGUUUUCCUUGGUUUCACUUCUCUCUGUGCUAGAGUUGGUUAAUCUCUUUCGUUCGUCAUUUUAUGAUUUUAAUCUUGAAAAUUGUUGAGGUGUUUAUAACUUUCUAAACUAUCCAUGAAAUCUGAAACAUUGCUUGUAAAAGAAAAAGGAGGUCUUUAUUUAUGAUUUGUGCUUUCCUGGAAAUUUGAGGUUUAUGCAGAUUAGCUUUCAAAAACUAAGUGAAAGCUGGAGUCCUCAAAAUAAAAUGAAGUGAAAUCUAAAUGCUACAAUAUUGUUUUUUUUCCUAUCUCAGUAUUUAUUUGAUUCUUAUGAAUGAUUAACAGGGAUGGACACUUUAUGAGGUACUCCAAUAUGUUCCAGAACAUAAUUGGAUUGCAUACGAACAAGCUCUUAAAGCCAAACCAGUGAUAGCCAAAAUGGCAAUAAGUGGGAUAGUCUAUUCAAUAGGAAAUUAGAUUGCACAAGUAGUUUCUCUCUCUUCUCCACUCUCUCUAUUAGUCCUUUAAACGUAAACAUAUAUUGCAUUCAGCUCAUAUUGUAUAGCCUGUGUGUAGUGUUAUGAAGGAAAGCCUUCAGAUCGGGCCUUGUUGGAUUUACUCUUCAUUGAUCCCUUUCUCACUAUUAUUACCAGUUUUGAGAGGUAAUACUUGUGGUUCAUAGUUUAUAUGUUUUGCUGCUUUGAGUCAUUUUUUUUCCAUGGAGCACUGAAACACUUUGAGUUCCAGGCUUUAUUUCCUUUCGAUGACUGGUGGGUGGUUCCAGCAAAAGUUAUCUUUGAUCAAACAGUUUGGGCUGCAAUCUAGAACAGUAUAUAUUAUGUAGUUUUGAGGUUCUUGCGUUUUGAAUCCUCGGCUAAUAUCUAUAAAGAACUGAAGGCAACAUUUUGGCCUAUGCUGACUGUAAGAAGCAUUUCUUCUGUUUCUUUUGAUGCAUAUUUUGGGUGUCAAUGGUUGUGGUAUGAAUUGCAAACGAUGUAGUCUACUCUACCCAUGAUUUUUGAUAUACUGGAAUUCUAUUUCAUGCUUUAUUUGUUAGAGCAGGAUUUAUCAUAUAUGCUCAUUUUUCUUUUACUUAAUCACUAUCAAUGUAAAAUGUCUACCUCUUCUCCAUGAUGUAUUGGAGGAUUCAACCUUUCUUAAUAGGUGUACCUUAAAAUCGACUUAGAAAAAAUGUUGUGCGGAGAAAGUGAAAUCUGUAUAUUUUAAUUUAGUACUAUAGAUCAUUGGGAUAUUGAAAUGAUCAAAUGACUUUUAUGUACUGUUCUUCUUACUUGAUGGAUAACUUAACCACUUGAAUGUCAAAUAAUGCUCAAGAGCCUAUUAUUUGCCUAUGCAUUAGGGAAUAAGAGACAUUUAUUUUUAGUAUAUAAUUAGUAAAAAACCUGUCAUCCUUCUUUAGGUCUUGAAGGAGGCCUCUAAGCUUUAUACUGCAAGUUGGGUAAGGGAUAUUGGUCCUGAUCUUAGACCAAACGAUUCUAAGAAGGAUGAUGGGAUUAAAGGUAAAUCCAAUGGAGAUAAGAGUAAGAGUACAGAGAUAGAACCUUCGACCUUGGAGGAUAUUGGUGUGGAACUUUACUUUGUGGUUUCUUAUCUUGAAAUGUUCAAAUGUAUAAGUUGUCUGUAAUGAAUCAAGAAGUAUAUAGCAUGACUUGCAAAAUAUAUGGCAUAUUAUAUGUGCAAUAAACCGUUAGAUUCGUGCUUGAGACAUCUUAUGGAGGUCAAGGAACAAAGUCCCGUAAUGCUUGAGUUCAGUUAGGUUUUCAUUUAAAUUUCCCUUUUUAGUAGAACUUUUCUAGAGGUAGCUUGGAAUUUAUUCUUUGAUUUCUUUUUCCCCUGGCUGCUCAGAGUCAUCUGUGACUGCAUUUUGUUUUAAUUUGUUGUUGGCACCUGUGUUCAAGUCUUAUAUUUUACACUUCCAUUGGCAUAUUUUUGGUGAAUCCCUUCUUCACCAGGCCAAAGUUCAGUUGUUGAGGAAAUAUUAAAUUCUCAACUAAAAUUUUUGUAAUAGCCCAAAGUUGACCGGGUUUAAAUAAAGAAAAAAUUAGAUAAAUAAAUAAACAUUUAUUAAAAAAGUCCAUUGAAAGUCCAGGCCUACUGUUGCUACCCAAAGCCCAAAUACAAAAACCCAUAUCCGGGUAUAACCCAAUAGCCGGAACAAUACCUAAUACCCUUAAGCUAAACCCAAACCCAAAUAAGGCCCGUUACACCCAGCAGUCCGUCAGACUCAUUAUCCCUGCUAGCCUAAGUCAGACCUAACCCAUUACAUUACAGACCUUGACCCAAAACAAAACAGCCCAAAAGGCCCAAUAGACUUAAGAGAAACAGGGAAACCCUAGGGUUUCCGAAUACUGUGGCGCCGCAAACAUUUCUGGAAGCUUCGGGGAGUGUCUGGCAACCCCCAAAUCGAGGCCACCGUUUAAUGAGUUGUCCCAAGGGGCUUCAAUGCUCAUCAACGCCCCGAUCCUCGGUCGUCCCUUGGUCUGGCCCCAAAUUACGUUAUGAAUGUCAUGACCAUCACCAAGGCUCCAUCAGCGCCGUGAUCAGUGCACGCGUCUACACCAGCAUGGUCACUGCCAGAUCCCUCGCUCGAUUGCCUGCAAGAAAAGGAAACAAACAGCAGAUACGCGAAAAAGCAGAGUAGAAAAUGGCAAGGAAAUCACAGCACAUCAGUCAAAGAUACAAGAAAUCAGAGAUUUCUUUCCUUAUGUAACAAAUCAGUAGGCUAUAAAAAAAGCCUUUGUAACCCUUGUAACGAUUACACAGAUACAGAAAUAAAGAAACGAAUACAAAUAGUUUCAAAGGUGAUAACUGAGUGACUUGUUCUCUAUUUUUUUUAGCCCAUAUAUAUGAACUGUUUAGCAAAAUACUAAGGGUAUUUGAAAAGAAGAAGAACUACCUGUUUUGGAUCUAAAGGAAUGAGGAUUUUUAAACCCUCCGAUCUUCGUAUACAGUGGCCCUUAGGGCGGCGCGUGGGCGCGUGGACCGGCACGUGGCGUACGAAGGCCAGAACCGGAGCUCCCUUCCUCUCUCUCUUUCAGAGAGAAUUUUUUAGUUUUUUUUUUAAAAAAUCGGGGUUCAAAUGAAUCUUAAGCUGAGAAGGUAGCUUAUAUAGCUUGAACGAAACGGCGUCGUUUUGCGACCCCCAGGAUCCGCGUGUUGACCCGAUUACCUGGGGAGGAUCCGCGCAUUUUUUAAAAUUGGGUUAAUUUCCCAAUCGGUCCUUCUACCCCUUUUGUGUUUACAAUUAAACUAUUUUAUUUAUGAUUUGGCCCUAUUAUUUUAUUUUAGUUUUAAUUUGACCCUGACAGUUGUUAAAUUAUAUUCUGAGAAACGUGGCCGUUUUAAGAAUAGGGCAUUUUGCCCAGUGAGUCCCUCUAAUUUUACGCGCGUUUUAAAUAGGGCCUCAAUUCAGUUUUGUUUCUUUGAAAUUCGCCCUGUAAUUUUGCUGAAUUUUAAAUUUAGUCCUAUAUUUAUUCUAUAUAUAUAUCUAUUUUAUAUAUUGAUAUUUAUUUUUAUCCUUAUUAUUUAUAUUAUAUACUAUAAGAUUAUUUUAUUAUACAUAUAUUAUUAUUCUUCAUAUUACCUAUUAUUUUUCAAAUUAUUUUACAUCAUUAUUUUUUAUAUUAUUAUAUUUUUACUUGUAUUAUAUGUUAAUUAUUUAUACAUAUAAACUUUCAUUAUUUUAUAUUAUAUCUAUUAUAUAUCUUAUUUCCUAUAUAUUUAAAUUAUAUUUUAUAACAUUUAUUUUAUUUUAUUUUUAUUCUAUAUUUUUUAUAUAUAUGUUAUGUGUAUCAUAUAUUAUCUAUUAUAUUAUUCAUUAAGAUUUGUAAAUUAAAUUACAUUUUAAACUCAUAUUAUAUAUAUUAAAUUAUUAAUUAUGUAUUAUUUUAUUUUAAAAUGAUGUUUUGUGAUAUGUAUUAUUUUAUAAAUCCUUUUACCUACUUUUAUUUUAUAUAUAUUUUUAUAUAAUUAUUAUUCUCUUAUAAAUAUUUUGUUAUUAUAUUUUAUAUAUUAUGUAGCAAAUACUAUUUUAAAAUUAUUAUUAAAAUUUAGGUCUUUAUUUGUGUUAUGUGUAUACUUUGUUGACAAUAAUUUAUUCCAUUGUUUUUAUAUUGCAUAUAUCAUGCGUUAUUUUAUAUUUAUUAUUUGAUAUUACAUUUCAUGAGCAUAUACAAUGAUAUUAUAUUACUCUUUUGUAUGCCAUACAUUAUUUAAUUAUUGCUUUCUUAUAUAUAACGUGCAUUAUUUAAUUAUCACUUUGUAUGUUUGUAUAUCUUGUUUAUUCAUUCUCAAUACAUGCUAUAUAUAUAUCUAUGUAUGCAUAUUGUUACUAUUUGCUUUAUAUGUAUUAUUUUAUAUGUAUAUAUCUAAUGCACGAUCUUUAUAUCAUAGUAUUCAUUUUUAAAUGCACGUAUUAUUUACCUACUACAAUAAUAUGUUACUAUGUAUGAUUUAUAAUGCAAUAUAAUUCCUCACACAUCACCAUUUUUUUAAAAAAAGAGCUCCAAGGUUUUCAAAAAAAUAUAAAGGCAAUGCUUGAUGUUUGGAAAUUUCGGGAAAGUAGUGCCCUAACUUAUCGGUUUGCGACUCUUCUCGUUGAGUUCGAAUAAUCAAAUACCCUUUUAAGUUUUUAAAGGUUUUCAAAAUGUAAGUGACUGUCUUGGAAUUUCAAAGAAAUAUGACCAAACUUACUGGAUGUGGCGUUUUGUUGUUUCAAGAUAGGGAUUUUCGAAAGGCUAACUCAAUGUCAAUAUUUUACGAGUGAGUUCCAAUUUUCAAAAUCCAAAAUAUUUCAAAGAGGAUUGCGUCUUAAAAUUUCUAAUUUCCGACCUUAAAGACAUUUGAUAAUCAAUUUGGUACCAAUUUUUGGGCGUUACGAGGGUGCUAACCCUUCCUCGUACGUAACCGACUCCCGAACUCGUUCUUUUGAUUUCGUAGACCAAAACCGAUGAUUUUAAAAUAAAAUUGAUCUAAAGGUGAUCCAAUCACACCUAAAAAGCUUGGUGGCGACUCCCGUUUUCAUUUUUUUAAAGUCGAUUCCCAUUUUCUAAAACUCGAUUUGAAAAUGAUUUCGACAGCUUGGCGACUCCACUGCGGACUAAUAAGAGAGUCAAGCCGUGUAAUUGAUUAUCUCUUGUCUUAAUGUCGGAAAUUAAAAAUUUUAAAAUUUAAUUUUCUUUGCAUUACAUGUGUUUGUGUUAUUGCAUGUGUUGCUAUAUUCUAAUACGCAUUGCAUUUGCAUGACCGUUGUGGUCACACCCUUAAGUGGGAGUGAGAAGCUACGCCUUCGUGAGGUUUUCGCCUCCGUGCAGGAUAGUGGAUCACUUUUGGGAUACAUCCGUACCUAUGGUUUCGUGAGAUUUUCAUCUCCGUGUAGCCAUAGGGAAAUGUGUCCCCCUGAACUGAACUCGAUUCAAAUGAGCCUAUAAUGGGUGAGGAUCGAGGAAUCUGCUGGUUCAGGUACCUCAACUUUAGAACUAAACCACAUAUAGAAGGACCGUAAGAGCUCAACCUAGAUAGAAUUAUACCGUAAUUAUUACCCUUACAGGUUAUCUUUGAGUUUAUUGUUAUCAUGUGAUACUAACUAUCUCUUUUCUUUUGUUGCAUAUCAUUUCGCAUUUAAAAGGUAUCAAUUCGCGGUCAGUGUCUAAAUUAGAGAGUUUUAUUAUAGAGAACGGACUUCUUGAUAGAGUGGAGAGCAAUGCCAACGUCCAUAGAUGGUCUGAGCAAACUCAGUUAGAAAAGGGAGAUAGUAUAGCUGUGGGAUAUAUGUCGGAGCUGUCAGGAUAUACUCGCAUCAGUGUCACGCAGGAUAAUCUCCAAGAACUUAAGGAGAUUUGGGAUCAAUGGGGCAACGAGACUAAACAGUUAUUCUAUGGUAAUUACGUAGAUUUACCUUACUUGCUCGAUGUUCAAAUAGAUGAGCACUUGUUCCGAGCCCUCGCUCAGUUUUGGAAUCCAGCGUAUAGUUGCUUUACUUUUGGGGAGGUAGACUUGGUGCCUACCGUAGAGGAGUACACUGCCUUGUUACGUUGUCCCAGGUUCCAGGUUGAUAGAAUCUAUUCUCGAGCUGCUAAUGUCCCUACCUUUUGGAAGAAAUUGAUGACUAUUACAGGGAUGAGUGAGCAGUGGAUUACGACCAGAAUUAAAGAGAACGGUGAGUGCAAGUGCAUUUCAUGGGACGCUUUGAAGGGUCUGAUUUUGAUGCAUCCCGAUGAAACAAAGAGGGUAGAUGUUUUUGCCUUAAGUUUGUAUGGAUUGAUGGUGUUCCCUAGGGCUUUGGGAUAUGUGGAUGAGGCAACCACGGAUCUUUUCCAUAGACUCAGUAAGAGGGUCACUUCAGUCCCUGCAAUUUUGGCAGAGACAUUCAGGUCCUUAGGCACAUGUAGAAAAGCUGGUGCAGGCAGGUUUGUUGGUUGUGUACAAUUGCUUCUAGUUUGGUUCUAUAGUCAUUUUCAAUUGGUAGAUAAGGUCGUUUGUCGGGUUUUCUUCGAGGAUUACUCACCGCUGAAGGGCAUAGUCGCUUCAACUAGGAGAGUUGAUGUUCCAGAGGAGAAUUGGAUAGCACUACUUCAAAAUCUUCAGUCGAAAGAUGUUGAGUGGAGAGCUCCAUGGAUGAUUCCUGGUGAGAUUCUUUACCGUUGCGGCAGUUUCGAUUGGGUCCCUUUAUUGGGAAUUUGGGGUGCCAUUGGUUAUGCCCCCUUGCUCGUGUUAAGGCAAUUCGAUUUGAGGCAGUUCGUGCCAGCAACUCAUGGGCUAACUCAAAGUGAGUUCGCAUAUAGAGGAGCUGAUUACAAGAAAAGGGUCGGUGAGAUCUCUAGCGCUUGGAACAAGGCGUGCCGAUUGAAAGGAGUAGCUAUUGGCCCUGCUACGACUCCAGAAUAUGUUGAAUGGAGAGGUAGAAGGAUCAAUGAUAACAUUCCUGAGCCAAAUAUGGAAAGAGCUCGACCGAUGGAGGAAUAUCUGCAAGUGAUGCCCUCGGAGUUAGAAAUUAUGAAGCAAGAAUUUGAGAGGAAAAAUCUGGAGCUCGAGAAAAGGAUAGCAAAGCUUGAAGAAGAAAAAAUGUACUUGAGUUUAGAUAUUGAUGUCCAGAAGAUGGAGGUCGAAAAAAAAAGAAAGGAAGGAAAAGAGGAAGAUUGAAGAGGAUAGAGAUGACUUGAAGGAAUACUACAAAAAGGCACAGGUAUCCUUGAGAAGAGCGAAAAUAGGAGGGUCUUCAGAUCAAUUGCAGAAAGAGGUCCAAGAAGGAAAGGCAAGAGCUGAGUACUGGGAGAAGAAGUUUCAAGAGAUGCAAUCGCGAAAUUUGGCAUUAGAAGAAGAGAAUAAAGGGUUGAAGUCUAAAGUAACUGAGCUUGGAAGAUCCCUUCGAUGGCAUCGCAACCAUGAUUCUACGGUCGAGUUAAAAGAGCUAAAGAGUAAAGUUGAAGAUUUGGAAGCAGCAUUGCAGGAAAGUAAACUUCAGAUCGAGCAACUCGAGACACAAGGAGAUUAUCUAAAGGGAGAGCUUCAUCAGUCUAGAGGGCAGAUUAGAGAAAUGGAUCAUGUCAUGGAAGAAGCCAUAGCUCAGAUUCGAGAGGUUGCUGAAUAUGUGCGAGACUUGGUUGUACGAGCCGAGGUAUUGAGUAUGAUGUGUGGGUCGUCGUCAGACAUCGGAAAAGAGUUAGCCCUUUUAUUAGAUAAAGUUAAAACUUUGGGCAUUAGGGCGAAAGCAUACUUGUAAUCCAUUUAUAUGUAAAGAUAUUCUUUUUCUAAAUGAAGUUUUCUAAAUGAGAUUGAAUCGAGAUUGAUGCCUUUGUUGCAUUCAUACAUUUGCAUUACAUCAUAUCAUAUGCAUUCAAGGUUAUAGAAAGACCCUAAUUAGUUAAAGUUUCUUUAUAAAGGUAGAAAAGAAAAACUGGAAAUUACGCAUUCUUACGGCACUCGCACUAAAACUAAGAACAUGGAUCAAAGGUUUGAGCAGUUGCAAAAGGAUAUGCAAGACCAGUUGCAAGAGCAGUUGGCUAAAAUGCAGAAUGAGAUGAGGGAGCAAAUGAUGGAAGCUCAGAGGAAUAUAAUGGCCGAAAUGGCUCAGUUACUGAGGGCCACUGAUAAAGGAAAGGCUCCUAUGGCCAUCAUUGAAGAGGAAAAUGAGGGUCCUCUUCUAGGUUUUACACCGCCGCAUGUAUCAUUGCAAACCGAGGCACCUCCUAGAAGGCCAUCUACUACUGUGAGGCCUCAGCAUGGGCUAAUCGAUGCUGGUAUCCAUGUGAAUUUUUCGGUUGGUUCAGGGCUUAAUAUGGGUGACAAUCUUACUAAUCCUCUUGUUCCUGAUCUAGAUAUGGUGAAAAAGGAAUAUUUGAAGGCCGAAGCUGCAAGGUAAUUAGAUGAACGCUGUAGAUGGUUAGAAGAAAAGUUCAAGGCUUUGGAAGGCACUGGCAAUAAUCAUGGGGAUGAUGCCAAGGACUUAAGUCUAGUCCCAAACCUAGUGUUACCUCACAAAUUCAAAAUGCCAGAAUUUGAAAAAUACAAUGGUACUACUUGCCCAGAGGCCCACAUCACAAUGUUUUGUAGAAGGAUGACGGGGUAUGUAAACAAUGAUCAGCUGUUGAUCCAUUGUUUUCAAGAUAGUUUGAUAGGUGCGGCAGCCAGAUGGUACAAUCAGUUGACCGGGCUAGAAUAAGUUCAUGGAGGGAUCUUGCAUAAGCCUUCAUGCAACAGUAGAAUCAUGUAACAGACAUGACCCCUGACAGGAUUACCCUGUAAAACAUGGAGAAGAAGCCUAAUGAGAAUUUUAGGCAAUAUGCACAGAGGUGGAGAGAGGUAGCGAUAGAGGUUCAACCACCACUGUUGGAGAAGGAGACCACUAUGUUAUUCAUUAAUAUUUUGAAAGCCCUAUUUAUUACUCAUAUGAUUGGAAGCACUACUAAAAGUUUUGCGGACAUAGUUAUGGCAGGAGAGAUGAUAGAGAAUGCCAUAAGAGGGGGAAGAAUUGAAGGAGAGGGAGUCAAAAGAUCAGCCCUAAGAAGAAAAGACAAUGAGGUAAACAAUACAAGUGGUUUUAAUUCAAAAGCAGUCACAGUUAGCCAGCCCAAAGUAGCCACAGUUGGGCAACAAGUCUCUUAAAAGCAGGAAUCCAACACUAGGUAUGAGAGGAUGCAAUUUACACCUAUACCUGUGACGUAUAGGGAACUCUAUCAAAAUCUAUAUGAUGCGCAUGCUAUAGCCCCUUUCCAUUUAAAACCAUUACAGCCUCUGUAUCCUAAAUGGUAUGAUGCAAAUGCCAGAUGUGAGUAUCAUGCUGGAAUAUCGGGGCACUUAAUCGAGAAUUGUACUGGAUUCAAGAAAGCCGUAGAGAGGUUGAUCAAGAAUGGGGUUUUAAAAUUUGAGAGUACCUCAAAUACUGAGAAUCCUUUGCCAAACCAUGACAAUCAGGGAGUAAAUGCCAUUGGUGAAGCCGGUGAAAAAAGGGAAAAGGAAAAUGUUGAUGAGAUAAGGAUGCCUAUGAGGGUAAUCUGGAAGGAGAUGAUGAAGAAAGGUAUGUUGACCUUUAAAAAUACGAAAGAAAUAAUGUGGGAUUACGGUGAGUUUCGUGAAGAUUGCGAGGAAUUCAAGGCCUUGGUGCAAGGCUUCAUAGACAACAAAGAGCUACAGGUUUAUGAAGGUAGCUCUAGUGAAAAGCAAGUAUGUGUGUUGGAAAAUGAACAGCAAAGAACCAACAGACCAAGGAUCAUUAUCUCCUUGCCAGGGAAUAAUGAAAUAAGGACACCAUCAGCGCCCAAGGUUAUUAUCCAUACACCUACUCCUUUCCCUUACAAGGAUAGCAAGAAAGUACCAUGGAGUUAUGACUGUAGCGUGACGGUGCCGGGAGAAGGAAACAUAGCCAGCGCAUCUAAAGAUGUACAAGAGGAAGGUUCCCAUACGUGAAGUGGGAAGCGUUAUGAUAUGGGGGACGUCAGGGUGGAGCCCACAAAAUCUAAGAAUGCUGAAAUUGAGAAAAAGAGUGAAGUACCUGUUAACGAGCCGGUGAGAGAGGAGGAAGCUAAGGAAUUUCUAAAGUUUCUUAAGCAUAGUGAGUACAGUAUGGUCGAGUAGUUGCGUAAGCAACCAGCGCGUAUAUCGAUUUUAGCCUUACUGCUAAGCUCUGAAGUGCAUCGAGAAGCGUUGUUGAAGGUACUCAACGAGACAUAUGUCACUCAUGAUAUAUCUGUCAAUAAGUUGGACCGGUUGAUAAAUAACAUCAAUGCUGAUAAUUUCAUCUACUUCAAUGAUGAUCAAAUUCCACCUGGGGGCAUAGGGUUAACUAAGGCUUUGCACAUCACCACUCGUUGCAAAGGAUACACGUUUCCAAGUGUACUCGUUGAUAAUGGGUCCGCUUUGAACGUCCUUCCAUUAUCCACAUUCAACAGAUUACCUAUUGACAGUUCACACAUGAAGACAUGUCAUAAUGUGGUAAGAGCCUUUGACAGAACUGAAAGGAAAGUAAUGGGACGAAUUGAUAUCCCUCUGGAGAUUAGACCAAAUACGUAUGAAGUUGACUUCUUGGUAAUGGAUAUCAAGCCCUCCUAUAAUUGUUUGUUGGGGAGGCCAUGGAUACACUCGGCAGGAGCGGUGCCUUUUUUACUGCGCCAAAAAUUGAAGUUGGUGACAGAUGGACGCUUGAUAACCAUCAAUGCAGAGGAGGACAUCAUAGCAGUCGUCACUAGUAAACCUCCUUAUGUGGAGACAAAUGAGGAGGCUAUUGAGUGUUCUUUUCGUUCUUUAGAAAUUGUUAAUACUACCUUCAUUUCGGAGGGAAGCGAGGUGCUGGUUCCCAGGAUGUCUAGAGCAACAAGGAUGGCCCUACAAAUAAUGAUGGGGAAAGGAGCAUUGCCAGGAAAAGGACUAGGAAAAUAGUUGCAAUGAGGGAUUCAAGUCCCAAAAUUGAUGGAGAAGAAGGAUCGCUUUGGUUUGGGUUUUAAGCCAGACCAUAAACAAAAGAGACAAGAGAUGAAAAAGCGUCAAGUAAGAAGGAAGGCGCAUUUGAACGGAGGAGAAGUAGAGUGGGAACUGAUGACAUUCCCACCUAUAUCCAAAACCUUUAAGUCAGGAGGGUUGCUAGUAAAAGAGAGUCAUCAAAUCAAUAUUGUACAUAAUGAGUGGUUUGGACAGGAAAACCUUGAGGGUAUUCACCCUUACGAACCGGGGAGCUCUCUGAACAAUUGGACUGCGGAGGAUCUUCCUGUAGUCUUUAGAAAUUUUUCAGAGUAAUUCUCGAAACAUGUUUAUUACUCUAGGGCCUAGGAGUAGUAAGAUUACAUUUUGUGAAAAUAGGCCUAUGUUCAUAUAUUAUUAUUCAAAUAAAACAUAACUUUUACCAAUUUAAAAGAGUAUUGUCUCAUUUUUAUCAACCAAUAUUUCUUUAAAUUCUAACAAUUCUUAUUCUUUUAUUCAUAGCACAUAAACGAUCAUUCUCAAAUUCAUUCAUUCUUUAUAUAUUCUUUCAUACCCCUUACAGGUCUCUAGAUAUCAAUGAUAUGAGCGCUAAUACUGCCGUUCCUGAUUUCUCUUGUGAGCAAGACAUGUGUUUAGAGGAGCCUUAGGAUUUUGAAGAUGUUCAAGAUUGUGACGUAUCUCUCGAUCUAUUAAGAAUGGUAAAACAGGAGGAGAAACAAAUCAUGCCACAUGAAAAAGAGGCAAUAGAUAAUAUAGCCCUAGAGGAAGGGAAGGAGGUCAAAAUUGGAACACUGAUCGCUAAUGACACAAGGCGUAGCUUGAUUGAGUUGCUUCAGGAAUUCAAGGAUAUCUUUGCAUGGUCUUAUCAGGAUAUGCCCGGAUUGAGUACUGAUAUUGUAGUACAUCGUCUUCCGAUAAGACAAGAAUGUAGACCGGUCCAACAGAAGUUGCGAAGGAUGCGGCCAAACAUUGUCCUGAAAAUAAAAGAUGAGGUUAAGAAGCAGUUUGAUGCAGGAUUUCUGCAGGAAGUGAAGUACUCUGAAUGGGUAGCUAAUAUUGUACCUGUUCCUAAGAAAGACGGGAAGGUACGAAUGUGCGUUGAUUACAGAGAUCUAAACAAAGCAAGCCCAAAGGAUAAUUUUCCUCUACCACAUAUCGACACUUUAGUAGACAACACAGCGGGAUAUUCGUUGUUCUCCUUCAUGGACGGCUUCUCAGGAUACAAUCAGAUAAAGAUGCAUCCAGAUGAUAUGGAUAAAACUACUUUCAUAACAUUAUGGGGCACCUUUUGUUAUAAAGUAAUGCCGUUUGGGUUGAAGAACGCAGGGGCAACAUACCAACGAGCCAUGGUAAACUUGUUUCACGACAUGAUGCAUAAGGAUAUUGAGGUAUACGUUGAUGAUAUGAUCGCCAAGUCGCGAACAGAAAAAGAACACAUUGAGGUCUUGAGAGGAUUGUUCUUAAGAUUGAGAAAAUUUCAGUUGAAGCUCAAUCCAGCAAAGUGCACCUUUGAAGCCAGAUCGGGGAAGUUAUUAGGCUUCGUAGUCAGUAAAAAGGGAAUUGAAGUUGACUCAGACAAGGUCAGAGCCAUACGGGAGUUGCCUCCACCACGUACUCAAAAAGAAGUUCGAGGAUUCCUAGGAAGGUUGAAUUACAUUGCUCGGUUCAUUUUACAAUUGACCAAGAAAUGUGAUCCUAUCUUUCGUCUCCUCAGAAAGCACAAUCAAGGUGCUUGGGAUGAAGAAUGCCAGAAUGCUUUUGAGAAAAUCAAGCAGUAUUUGUUGAAUGCUCCAAUGUUAUCUCCGCCUAGUCUAGAUAAACCGUUAAUACUAUACUUGUCAGUGUUUAGCAAUUCUAUGGGAUGUGUGCUUGGUCAGCAUGACGAGUCAGGGAAAAAGGAAAAGGCAAUUUAUUAUCUCAGUAAGAAAUUUACUGAUUGUGAAAUGAGAUAUUCACUAAUCGAAAAGUUGUGCUGUGCGUUGAUUUGGACCACACGGAGAUUAAGACAAUACAUGCUAUACCAUACAACUUGGCUCAUCUCAAAAUUAGAUCCAUUAAAAUACAUGAUGGAAUCAACGGCUCUAAAUGGAAGAAUGGCGAGAUGGCAAAUUUUGCUUUCAGAGUUUGAUAUAGUUUAUGUAAGUCAGAAGGCUAUCAAAGGAAGUGCGGUGGCAGACUUCUUGGCCAGUAGAGCUUUAGAGGAUUACGAGCCAUUGAAUUUUGAUUUUCCAAAUGAGGAGCUAAUGUGUAUAGCAGCAACUGAAGAUUCUCCAUGGAAGCUAAAUUUUGAUGGGGCUUCUAAUGCAGUCAGAAAUGGAAUUGGGGCAGUCUUGGUAUCCCCGAAUGGCGACCAUUACCUGUUCAUGUGCAAGUUGGAUUUUGACUGUACAAAUAAUAUGGCUGAAUACGAAGCAUGCAUCAUGGGGCUCCAAGCGGCCAUAGAAAGAGGCAUAAAAACCCUAGAAGUAUAUGGAGAUUCUGCGUUAGUAAUCUAUCAGUUAAGAGGUGAAUGGGAGACAAGAGACCCUAAGUUGAUCAAUUAUCGAAUGGUAGUUUUAGGGUUACUAAGAGAGUUCGAUGACAUCACCUUCAACUAUCUCCCACGAGAUGAGAAUCAGAUGGCAGAUGCUUUAGCAACCUUGGCUUCACUGAUUAAGGCAAACAAAGAGGAAGAGAUGAGACCAAUUCAAAUGAGUGUCUAUGAAUUUUCAGCUAGCUGUUGUAACCUUGAAGAGGAAGAAAAGGAUGACAAUCCUUAGUAUCAGGAUAUAUUGCGAUAUGUAAGAGAUCGUAAAUAUCCAGCACAGGCAUCCGAAAAUGACAAACGAACCCUGAGAAGAUUAGCUUGUGACUAUGUUUUGGACGGGGAUGUUCUGUAUAAGAGAAGGAAAUACCAAGUACUUUUGAGAUGUGUCAAUGCUGUGGAAGCCAAGCUAAUUCUAGAAGAGGUCCAUGAAGGUGCAUGUGGUACGCAUGCAAAUGGGUUCACGAUGGCAAGACAAAUCAUGAGGUUUGGCUAUUACUGGGCCACUAUGGAAGGAGACUGUAUCAAUUAUGCCAAAAAAUGCCAUAAGUGUCAGAUUUAUGGGGACAAAAUUCAUGUACCACCCUCACCUUUACAUGUCAUGACGUCUCCAUGGCCAUUUUCCAUGUAGGGCAUGGAUAUCAUCAGACCAAUAUCGCCGAAAGCUUCGAAUGGACAUCGGUUUAUUUUCGUAGUUAUUGACUACUUUACAAAAUGGGUAGAGGUUGCUUCUUACGCAAAUGUUACUAAGUCAGCUAUAAGUCGAUUUUUGAAGAAGGAAAUCAUUUGUCGGUAUGGAGUGCCUGAGAGGAUCAUAUCCGACAAUGUAUUGAAUUUGAACAACAAAACGAUAGCAGAGGUUUCGACCAGUUCAAAAUCAAGCAUCACAACUCUUCACCCUAUCGUCCAAAGAUGAAUGGGGCAGUGGAGGCUGCCAAUAAAAACAUUAAGAAAAUAGUGGGAAAGAUGACUGAGACUUAUAGAGAUUGGCAUGAAAAGCUACCGUUUUCACUCUUGGCUUAUCGAACAUCUGUUAGAACUUCUACUGGGGCAACUCCGUUCUCGUUAGUUUACUGGAUGGAAGCAGUUUUACCUAUUGAAGUGGAAAUACCCUCUCUCCGAAUUUUAACAGAGAUAAGGUUAGAUGAAGCUGAAUGGGUUCAGUCUCGAUAUGACCAGCUAAACUUGAUUGAGGAAAAGAGGCUGAAGGCUAUCCAACAUAGUCAGAUGUACCAGAAGCGUAUGAUACGAGCUUAUGAUAAAAAAGUUCGUCCAAGGGAAUUCCAUGAGGGGGACCUUGUGCUAAAGAAAAUCAUUCCCAUUCAAAAGGACUUUAGAGGAAAGUGGAUGCCAAAUUGGGAGGGGCCAUACGUCGUGAAGAAGGCUUUUUCUGGUGGUGCAUUGAUUUUGACAGAAAUGGAUGGAAAAAGCCUACCCAAUCCGGUGAACUCAGACUCAGUUAAAAAUACUUUGUCUAAAAGCGAAAAGAAUCCAAGGUGAAAACCUGCAAAAGGGCGCCUUGAAUUUUGAAAAAAAAAUGGAUAGGCCAAUGUGAAAACCCACAAAGGGCACCUUGUGACUAAAGGGAUUUUGAGUUGAAAACCUGAAAGGGCAGCUCAAAUUUUGAAGGGCAUACAGCAAACUUGCUAUAUUUGACUUGACAGAGAGUGAGGCACAGUGUACAUUGGGGCAUCAACAAAGUACUUUGGAUCUUUUAAACACAUGUCGAACUCAAGAAAGGCUUCGGGGAACUAAUGUAUAGAUGCUCAAGCGGCGAUAUUUAUCCUGUUUGCUGUCUUUAGAUUCUAUUUCUUCUUAAAGAUAUGCUAUCAAACUUAUUUCCUUUGUACUGUUAACAAUUCGAAUCCAAUUAUUCUCAAAGAUUUACUCAUCUCCCGAUAUUUUUUAAGUAUGUUGCAUUGAAAUAAUGAUAGAUGAGCUAAAAUAUUUUCACAAAAGAAGUUUUACACAUCACUUUGGAAUUUCUAGAUAAUACAAGAAACUAAAACAGGACAAUUGUUCGAGAAAUUCACGUAAGUAAGGAAUGAAGGAACUCGAGAGAUUUCUUUCUUCCAGUUCAAAAAGAAAUGGAUGAUUCAAUUCUUACAGACAUCCUCAAUAGAUCAUAGCAUUGGAGGAAGGCCUACAAGCUGAGUAAGAAUAAAGUUUUGAGAAAGAGAAAUGAAGGAAUGAAUAAUGACACCUGAGAUAGGGGUUAUAUUCACAGCACUUUGCAUCAUAACAUGUUAAGGGCAUUUGACUCAUUUCAAUCAUAGCAUACUUAGGCAUAGGCACAUACUCAUCCUACAGGUCAUGAAGAUCAAAGAUUUCAACAUGGUAGCCUAUGCUUAUAGGAAAUAAAUUGAAGACAACAGAUCUAAACUUCAGACAUUUAUGUUGAAGCAGAUCCAAGAUGAUUUGGUAUUCUUGUGUUUACAAGAAACAAGUCGAGGACAUAGCAGAUUUGACUCUCAGACGUUCUCAAAGAUAGCAGAUCUAACCUUCAGAUGUUUAUACUGAAGCAGAUCCAAGAUGAUUUGGUAUUUUUGUGUUUACAAGAAACAAAUCGAGGACAUGGCAGAUUUGACUCUCAGAUGUUCUCAAAUAUAGCAGAUCUAACCUUCAGAUGUUUAUACUGAAGCAGAUCCAAGAUGAUUUGGUAUUCUUAUGUUUACAAGAAACAAAUCGAGGACAUAGCAGAUUUGACUCUCAGGCGUUCUCAAAUAUAGCAGAUCUAACUUUCAGAUGUUUAUACUGAAGCAGAUCCAAGAUGAUUUGGUAUUUUUGUGUUUACAAGAAACAAAUCGAGGACAUAGCAGAUUUGACUCUCAGACGUUCUCAAAUAUAGCAGAUCUAACCUUCAGAUGUUUAUACUGAAGCAGAUCCAAGAUGAUUUGGUAUUCUUGUGUUUACAAGGAACAAAUCGAGGACAUUGCAGAUAUGACUCUCAAAUGUUCUGAAACAGACUCAAGAUGAUUAGACAUCCUUGCAAAUUGAAGAAGUAGAAUCAGUGUCUCUAUGUUCGGCGGAAAGCAGAUUGAAGAUCAUAGAAUCGAUCAAAUUUGGGUCUUUCUAUGAAUCUUUGCUUGAUUCCUGUUACACAGCAAUAAACAAAGAGGGGCAGCUGUAAUAGCCCAAAUUUGACCGGGUUUAAAUAAAGAAAAAAUUAGAUAAAUAAAUAAACAUUUAUUAAAAAAGUCCAUUGAAAGUCCAGGCCUACUGUUGCUACCCAAAGCCCAAAUACAAAAACCCAUAUCCGGGUAUAACCCAAUAGCCAGAACAAUACCUAAUACCCCUAAGCUAAACCCAAACCCAAAUAAGACCCGUUACACCCAGCAGCCCGUCAGACUCAUUAUCCCUGCUAGCCUAAGUCAGACCUAACCCAUUACAUUAUAGACCUUGACCCAAAACAAAACAGCCCAAAAGGCCCAACAGACUUUAGAGAAACAGGGAAACCUUAGGGUUCUUGAAUACUGUGGUGCCGCAAACAUUUCUGGAAGCUUCGGGGAGUGUCUGGCAACCCCCAAAUUGAGGCCACCGUUUAAUGAGUUGUCCCAAGGGGCUUCAAUGCUCAUCAACGCCCCGAUCAUCGGUCGUCCCUUGGUCUGGCCCCAAAUUACGUCAUGAAUGUCAUGACCAUCACCAAGGCUCCAUCAGCGCCGUGAUCAGUGUACGCGUCUACACCAGCAUGGUCACUACUGGAUCCCUCGCUCGAUUGCCUGCAAGAAAAGGAAACAAACAGCAGAUACGCAAAAAAGCAGAGUAGAAAAUGGCAAGGAAAUCACAGCAGAUCAGUCAGAGAUACAAGAAAUCAGAGAUUUCUUUCCUUAUGUAACAAAUCAGUAGGCUAUAAAAAAAGCCUUUGUAACCCUUGUAACGAUUACACAGAUACAGAAAUAAAGAAACGAAUACAAACAGUUUCAAAGGUGAUAAUCGAGUGACUUGUUCUCUAUUUUUUUUAGCCCAUAUAUAUGAACUGUUUAGCAAAAUACUAAGGGUAUUUGAAAAGGAGAAGAACUACCUGUUUUGGAUCUGAAGAAACGAGGAUUUUUAAACCCUCCGAUCUUCGUAUACAGUGGCCCUUAGGGCGGCGCGUGGGCGCGUGGAUCGGCACGUGGCGUACGAAGGCCAGAACCGGAGCUCCCUUCCUCUCUCUCUUUCAGAGAGAAUUUUUUAGUUUUUUUUUAAAAAAUCGGGGUUCAAAUGAAUCUUAAGCUGAGAAGGUAGCUUAUAUAGCUUGAACGAAACGGCGUCGUUUUGUGACCCACAGGAUCCGCGUGUUGACCCGAUUACCCGGGGAAGAUCCGCGCAUUUUUUAAAAUUGGGUUAAUUUUCCAAUCGGUCCUUCUACCCUUUUUGUGUUUACAAUUAAACUUUAUUUUAUUUAUGAUUUGGCCCUAUUAUUUUAUUUUAGUUUUAAUUUGGCCCUGACAGUUGUUAAAUUAUAUUCUGAGAAAUGUGGCCGUUUUAAGAAUAGGGCAUUUUGCCCAGUGAGUCCCUCUAAUUUUACGCGCGUUUUAAAUAGGGCCUCAAUUCAGUUUUGUUUCUUUGAAAUUCGCCCUGUAAUUUUGCUGAAUUUUAAAUUUAGUCCUAUAUUUAUUCUAUAUAUAUAUAUUUUAUAUAUUGAUAUUUAUUUUUAUCCUUAUUAUUUAUAUUAUAUACUAUAAGAUUAUUUUAUUAUACAUAUAUUAUUAUUCUUCAUAUUACCUAUUAUUUUUCAAAUUAUUUUACAUCAUUAUUUUUUAUAUUAUUAUAUUUUUACUUGUAUUAUAUGUUAAUUAUUUAUACAUAUAAACUUUCAUUAUUUUAUAUUAUAUCUAUUAUAUAUCUUAUUUCCUAUAUAUUUAAAUUAUAUUUUAUAACAUUUAUUAUAUUUUAUUUUUAUUCUAUAUUUUAUAUAUAUAUAUGUUAUGUGUAUCAUAUAUUAUCUAUUAUAUUAUUCAUUAAGAUUUGUAAAUUAAAUUACAUUUUAAACUCAUAUUAUAUAUAUAUUAAAUUAUUAAUUAUGUAUUAUUUUAUUUUAAAAUGAUGUUUUAUGAUAUGUAUUAUUUUAUAAAUCCUUUUACCUACUUUUAUUUUAUAUAUAUUUUUUAUAUAAUUAUUAUUCUCUUAUAAAUAUUUUGUUAUUAUAUUUUAUAUAUUAUGUAGCAAAUACUAUUUUAAAAUUAUUAUUAAAAUUUAGGUCUUUAUUUGUGUUAUGUGUAUACUUUGUUGACAAUAAUUUAUUCCAUUAUUUUUAUAUUGCAUAUAUCAUGCGUUAUUUUAUAUUUAUUAUUUGAUAUUACAUUUCAUGAGCAUAUACAAUGAUAUUAUAUUACUCUUUUGUAUGCCAUACAUUAUUUAAUUAUUGCUUUCUUAUAUAUAUCGUGCAUUAUUUAAUUAUCACUUUGUAUAUUUGUAUAUCUUGUUUAUUCAUUCUCAAUAAUAUAUCUAUGUAUGCAUAUUGUUACUAUUUGCUUUAUAUGUAUUAUUUUAUAUGUAUAUAUCUAAUGCACGAUCUUUAUAUCAUAGUAUUCAUUUUUAAAUGCACGUAUUAUUUACCUACUACAAUAAUAUGUUACUAUGUAUGAUUUAUAAUGCAAUAUAAUUCCUCACACAUCAUCAUUUUUUAAAAAAAAGGGCUCCAAGGUUUUCAAAAAAAUAUAAAGGCAAUGCUUGAUGUUUGGAAAUUUCGGGAAAGUAGUGCCCUAACUUAUCGGGUUGCAACUCUUCUCGUUGAGUUCGAAUAAUCAAAUACCCUUUUAAGUUUUUAAAGGUUUUCAAAAUGUAAGUGACUGUCUUGGAAUUUCAAAGCAAUAUGUCCAAACUUACUGGAUAUGUCGUUUUGUUGUUUCAAGAUAGGGAUUUCCGAAAGGCUAACUCAAUGUCAAUAUUUUACGAGUGAGUUCCAAUUUUCAAAAUCCAAAAUAUUUCAAAGAGGAUUGCGUAUUAAAAUUUCUAAUUUCUGACCUUAAAGACAUUUGAUAAUCAAUUUGGUACCAAUUUUUGGGCGUUACGAGGGUGCUAACCCUUCCUCGUACGUAACCGACUCCCGAACUCGUUCUUUUGAUUUCGUAGACCAAAACCGAUGAUUUUAAAAUAAAAUUGUUCUAAAGGUGAUCCAAUCACACCUAAAAAGAUUGGUGGCGACUCCCGUUUUCAUUUUUUUAAAGUCGAUUCCCAUUUUCCAAAACUCGAUUUGAAAAUGAUUUCGACAUUUUUUAGGCCAAAUUUCUCUCUUCUCACCCUUUUCUCUCUCUUAUUUUCCUGGUAUUAUAGUUUAUCUUGUUGAAUUUUACAUUGUUUUGAUGUUGUCUAUGGAAAUGAUUUAAUAGUGAUUGCUGCAAGAGGAGGGAUGGAGACUUUGAGGCCUGCUUUACAGAGGUUAUACAUGACAAGGGCUUCUGCAUAUAGAGAUGCUCUUAAGAGUUUCAUAGAAGGAUAUCAAGAGGGUAUCCAGCAGAUCAUGGAGAAAGAGGAAGAUUUUUCUAAAGCACAGCAAGAAGGCAAUACUGAUACAACUUGACGGCUGAUAAGUGCAUAAUCGAAGAUGCAUGUGAGUACUUCUCCAGCAUACCUAUUGUAGAUACAAGUUUGGAGAUUUGGUGGAGCUAGGUUGGCAUGAAAUCACAAGAAUGAUACAUGUCCUGAGAAUUUUCUUGUAUUGAGAAAGUGACCUUUAGAAACUACAAGUAUAAUGGAAAUCUCCAUUGACAAUGGUGAUGCUCUUUCCUUCUGUCACAAUUUAAAUGAAAUGAGAAUGUGAAGUGUAACAUUAUAUUGUUUGUUAUAUGUAACAAAGUAUCGAUUAAAAUUAUUACUUAACUCAUAAAUUAACAUUUAAAUUAUAUCAUUAAUUCUAUUUUAGUGUCUAAAUUUUUUUAAUCACAAGCUAUUUAUUACUUUUAAUACUUUUUUUUUAUUGUAGAAUAAUUAAAUUAUUUGUUUCACUAAUGAUAUUUUAGCACAUUAAAUAUGUAUUGCAAUUUAAAAAUAAUAAGGUAAGUUUUAUAUUAUUUUUAUAAUAUUAUAUAUUAUGAUUUUUUAAUUCAUAUAAUAAUUAUUUUAUUAAGAAUGUUAUUAAAUUAUAUAAUAUUUUAUUAAAUUGUAUUUAAUAAUUAUUAUAUUAAAAAAUGAUUAAAUCAUUUAUUUUUAUUUUAUUAAAAUAUAGUUAACAAUAAUUUUAUUAAAAUUUAAUAAUAAUAACAAUAAUUAUCUAUCUAAAAAAAAUUAAAGCAUUUUCAAUGGUUGUUUUGGUUGCUUAUUACAAUGCUUUUUUUUUGUCUUGGCAGCCCUUUUUUUAUUCAUCUUGUGGAUGCUAUUAAAAUGUUUUAUUGAUCAGAGUGAUGAGGGGCGGAUCUGGGUAGAAUCACAUUUUAGGGAAAACUGAUGAUUUUAUUUCGUAAUCUUUUCAAUGUAAAUACCAGCUCCUACCAUACACUCAUUUGUUGUCUUAUUCAUGUACAGUUUCUCUUUUCUUCCCCUUUUUUUUUCGGUGGUUGAAUUAAAUAUGAGAACUAUGGGAAACUGAAUAGAAUAUUUAAGGAUAUCAAGUUAUUUCAUUAACGCAUUACUUUAACCUAGGGAUAGAUUGCAAAACCUCUGCACAUUCAAUCAUGUCCUUCUACAAUGGCGAUUUCUAGCGAAAAAAUAUUUUAGUAUUCCAAUCUUAUAGUGAAUGAUUUCUAGAGAAAAAUAUUGUAUUAUCUCAUUAACGAUUUCUAGAGAAAAAAAUAUUGUAGUAUUCCAAUCUUGAAAUUUAUUCGAGGAACAUUCCCAGAAACAUAUGAAUAUUAUGUUUAAAUGUGAAAUAUAAUUCUCAAGUUAUUUAUUACUUCUUAUAUUUUAUUUUUUAUUGUAGAAUUAUCAAAUUAUUUGUUUCACUAAUGAUAUCUUAGCAUAUUAUGUAGUGCAGUUUAAAAAUAAUAAAGUAGAUUAUAUAUUAUUUUUAUACUAUUAUAUAUUAUGAUUUUUUAAUUCAUAUAAUAAUAAUUAUAUUAAGAAUUUUAUUAAAUUAUAUUUAGUAAUAAUUAUGGUAAAAUAUGAUUAAAUUAUUUAUUAUUUUUAUUAAAUUAUUUUUAAUAAUAAUCUUAUUAAAAUUUAAUAAUAAUAACAAUAAUCAUCUACUUAAAAAAAAUUCAAUUAAGGGUAUUCUGGUCAUUUUAGUUUUUUCUUAUUCUAUUACAACAUCAUUCCAUUCAACCAAACACAAGAAUUCUAUUACAGUUCUAUUCUAUUCCAUCUAACCAAACAGUUGAAUUACUUAUUACAGUUCUAUUCCAUUACAGCUCUAUUUCAUUACAGCUCUAUUCAAUUACAGCUCUAUUCCAUUACAGUGAACCAAACGAACCCUUAGCUUUUUGAGUCAAGACUGCGACAAAGAAAAUGUUUUUCCAUUCGAAUACAAAAGGUAGGAUUAAAGAACUUUUGGUUUUUGGCUUUUAUAUUUGGAAGUGAAAAAAAUAUCAAAAUAUCCUUAUUUAUAUUAGCUAUUUAUAUUUUAAAAGGUAUAUAAAAAAUUAUUUGAAUAUCAUUUACAUUUUAUAUAUUAUUAUAUUAAAUAUUUUGAAUAUUAUUUAUUAUUAUUUUAAAUUGUUAAAAUAUUUUUAUAACUUGUACAAAUAAUUUGUAUUUCAUGUAUCAUAAUAUUAAUUAUUUAAAUAUAUAUCAUAUAAUUUAACUAAUUUUUCACUUUUGACUAUCAUAUUUAAAAAGAAUAUUUAAUCCAUCAAACCUAAUUUUUUUGUAGUAAUAGAGAACACUAAAAAUUAACAAAUUACACUUUUUCAUAGUACUUUUCUACCAAACUUUUCAAAACUAUUUUGGUUUUAUUUCCCAUUGCUUUUUAAAAGUAUCUUUUAUGACCAUAAAUAAUACUAAACAAAUAAAUUCUAAAAGUAUUUUUGAAAAACACUUUUUAACCACAAUAAUGAAUAGAAAACUAACCCUAAGUUGAUGAAAGGGUAACAUAACAACCUAUAACCAAGCCCAAAUGAGAACCUUCGGCUGAAGAACUCACCUUAAAGUAAUGGGACUGUGAUAAUUACCUUUAUUUUUUCGAUAAUUGAUAUGUAUCUUAAUGUACCCUUACUUAACACACUUUAACCAACUAAACGGUAAGUUGGGUUUGCAAGCAAAUGAUUAGCCCUUGGCAACGUGAGCCCAAACUUUUCAGUCAUAUCAAGUUCAUCAGGUAACAUCCCAUCAGGCAACUCCCAAUCAAAGCAAUGAACUAAUUGAGCUAUAAUUAGACUCAUGGUGGUCAACCCCAACUGCAUUCCAGGACAUCCUCUACGGCCACUCCCAAACGGGAUGAGUUGGAAAUCAUGUCCUCGAACGUCUAUGUUGCUAUCCUUGAACCUUUCUGGAAAGAACUCUUCAGCAUUGUUUGACCAUACUUUAUGGUCUCGCCCGAUGGACCAAACAUUCACUAAAAUCCGCGACUUCUUUGGAAUGAAAUAUCCAUCAAUGGUGAUAUCUUCUGUCGACUCACGUGGAACUAGUAAGGGCGCCACUGGAUGCAACCUUAAACUCUCUUUCAUGACCAUAUCUAAGUAAGCAAGCUUCGGUAGGUCCGACUCUUCUACCAUUCUAUGCCUUCCAACAGUUCUUUCCAGUUCUUGUUGGAGAGCAGCCAUGACUGAAGGGUGCCUUAGAAGCUCUGCAAGUGUCCACUCAAUGGCUGUAGUUGUGGUCUCAAAUGAAGCUGCCACCAUGUCCACCAUUAUGGCCUUGAUGUUUUCUCUACCAAUGAUGUACCGCUGCUCUUCAUCGUUAGGGUUAAUGGGCGUAUUCAACAAUGAAACCAUUACAUGAAAGAAAUCUGUGUAAGGUUUUUGUUCCUUGGCGUUAGUCCCUUGUAAAUGUUCAUCAAUCAUUUUGUCAAAAAUUGCGUGAAGCCCAUUGCUUGUCCUCUUAAGCCUUCUUC